CACAAACUUAAGGUUUAGAGUUAAAGGGUGGGGUUUAGGAUUUAGGGUUUAGGGUUUAGAGUUUAGGGUUUAGGGUUUAGAGUUUAGGGUUUAGGGUUUAGGAUUUAGGGUUUAGAGUUUAGAGUUUAGAGUUUAGGGUUUAGAGUUUAGGGUUUAGGGUUUAGAGUUUAGGGUUCGUGGUUUAGAAUUGAGAAAUGAGGUUUUGGGGAUAAGAUAUAAACUUAGAAAGGUGUUAUUUUGGUCAUUUUAGUUUUUGAGUGCUAUUUUUGUGAUAUAAACUUAGAAAGGUGCUAUUUUGGACAUUUGCCCUAAUUUAAAUGAUAUUAAUAAUAUAUAUAUAUAUACUAUGAAUAUCUAUUAAUGAAGCUUCAUAUUUAUAUGAUUUAUGAUUAUUUUUAUCUUGCAUGAACAAAAAAAGUUAACCAUUGAUCACAAAAAUUUCAAUGUGGUGCUUUUAUCACUUUUAGUAUUUUAUAGUCGUUUUAAAAAAUUCAAAAUAUAACAUAUAAGAAAAAAACAAAAUUUUUUAAUUAUAUGCUUAAUGUGAUUGUUUAAUUUCUUUUAAUAAUAUAAAAUUAAACAAAAAGAUAGAAUAUACAAAAUUGUUAUAAAAUAUAUAUUAUUUAUAAUCAUUAAUUGUUAUAUAUAUGUUAACUAUAUUAUGUAAUUCCAUUACUUUUAUUUAUGGAAAGAAUUGAGAAUAUUUUUUUGCACUAAUAAUCAAUUUGAUAGUUAGUUAAUAAAAAAUAUAAUAUAUACUUGUAUAGACAAAUUUAUUUUUCUAAGGAUUUAAGAAUUAUUCUAGUGAUAGACACGUUGCAACAAUUGUUUUUUAAAACAAUUUUGUUUUGUAAUUUUAAAAGAGUUGGUGAGUGCCAAAGAUGGGCCAGCGAACGUAUAUGCUACCGAAACAGCCACCGUUUAGCCCAUGAAGGAGUGAAAAAGAAAAACGCAACGUAAACAAAACAAGAGUUUUUGUCUUAAACGGUGUCGUUAAGAAGAGACGACACAUAGCGAAAACCCUAGUGUCUUUAUUUGAGCCAACGUCGUCUCUCGCUUCACACCCUCAAUAGCUCUCUCCACUCGCCCCUUUUUACCAAUUCCUUAAACCCCUGCGAGUAUCAACCUUCGAGAGAUGAGUUCAGACGAUGAGAGAGACGAGAAGGAGCUGGAUCUUACCUCUCCUGAAGUCGUCACCAAGUACAAGAGCGCCGCUGAGAUCGUUAACAGUAAUAAUCCCCAUUCACGAUUUCGAUUAGGUUCUGUAUUCAUUACUUGUAUUCAUUUGUUUGGGUUUGGAAUUUGCAGAGGCGUUGCAGGUUGUUUUGUCUGAGUGCAAGCCAAAAGCCAAGAUUGUUGAUAUCUGCGAGAAAGGAGACGCCUUUAUCAAAGAGUUAGUUAUUGUUUUUAGGUCCUUGCGCUCUGCAAUAAAGUUUACUUUGCUCAUAUGUAUGUUUGUUUUCUGUAUAUAAAAGGCAAACAGGGAGCAUGUACAAGAGCGCCAAGAAGAAGAUUGAUCGAGGUGUCGCUUUCCCAACGUGCGUUUCUGUCAACAACACCGUUGGUCAUUUCUCACCGCUUGCAAGUGAUGAGACCCUCUUGGAAGAGGGUGAUAUGCUGAAAAUGUAAGAGACUUUUUUUUUUUUUUUUUUUCCUGAAGCAGAAGUAAGUUUGUGUGUGUGUUUAGAUGUUUCUGUGUGAUUCAUCACGUUUUGUCUUUUCUCCACUGCAGUGAUAUGGGAUGUCAUAUUGAUGGGUUCAUUUCCCUUGUUGCCCACACACAUGUUCUUCAAGAUGGACCCGUUACUGGACGCAAAGCUGAUGUUAUUGCAGCUGCUAACACUGCUGCUGAAGUUGCUUUGAGGCUCGUUCGUCCUGGGAAGAAGGUAACCUGUUUUUUUUUUUUUAUGGUGCUACUGUAACUGUUACAUUUGGUUCUUAAUGAUUAGGCUAUGGAUUAUUAUCCGUAUGAUGCUUUUUGUCAUAGUUACUCGGAUGGGAAGUUUAUAAUUCUCAUUUCUAGUAGAGUCCUCUGUAGACAAAAUUGUUAGUGAGAACAACUUUGCUGAACAGGUCUUAUCGGUUUGCUUAUUCUGGAUAUCCAAAUGAGGCUUUUACAUUAUAGUUACUCUGACGUGGGGAUGAUAUAUUUAUAGAAUUUAUUGUUAUUGAAUUUACUAGUUUCUUGGAAUUUACUACAAUCAAGACAAUUAAAAUUGUGUUUAUCUUUCUUGUGGCAGAACCAUGCUGUCACUGAAGCUAUUCAGAAGGUGGCCGAAGCAUAUGACUGCAAAAUUGUGGAAGGAGUUAUUUCCCACCAGAUGAAACAGAAUGUGAUAGAUGGAAGCAAGUGUUUCCUAAGUGUAUCCACUCCAGAAACAAGGGUUGAUGAUGCUGAGUUUCUAGAGAAUGAAGUCUAUGCCAUUGAUAUUGUGGCAAGCACUGGUGAUGGCAAGGUAAAAUUGCUUUUCUUGAUUUGCAAAGCUUCGUCAAAUUGCCAUCGUUUCUCAUACUCUUUCAAUUUUGCAGCCGAAGCUUUUAGACGAGAAGCAAACAACUGUUUACAAGAAGGAUGCGGAUGUUAACUAUCAGUUGAAGAUGAAGGCCUCCAGAUUCAUAUUCAGCGAGAUUAAAGAAAACUUCCCCCACAUGCCAUUCACUGCAAGGUGUCUUUUGUACCUUCUGAAGCACUUAAUACAUAUUAUGUCAGCUGCUAACGUUACCUGAGAAUACAGGUCACUGGAGGAGAAAAGGGCACGUCUUGGACUUGUGGAGUGUGUGAACCAUGGCCAUUUGCUACCAUAUCCUGUACUUUACGAGAAGCCUGGUAAGGAUUAUGAAUCCUUUAGCCUCUUUUAGAUUGAUUUUGAGAGUGAGACUCAUGAUAUAUUUUUGGUUCAUCAACAGGGGAUUUUGUUGCUCAAAUCAAAUUCACAGUUUUGCUGAUGCCAAAUGGAUCCGAUAGGAUCACUUCACAUUCACUUCAGGAGCUUCAACCUACGAAGACCGUUGAUGACCCUGAGAUCAAAGGGUGGUUAGCCUUGGCUAUCAAGAAGAAGAAGGGUGGUGGAAAGAAGAAGAAAGGUAUGAAAUUUAGAAAAUUAUGUUUGUAGACUUUUAUUUACCACGAAACUCAAUCCACAUUUGUUGAGAAAAGAAUCUAUAAUGACUUGUGAUUGUUUUUGCAGCCAAGAAGGCUGGAGAGAAAGGGGAAACCUCAACGGAGGCUGAGCCAAUGGAAACAAGCAGCAAUGCUCAAGAAUGAGAAGGCGAUGUCUCUUUUGUUUUCUUUUAAAGAUUUUUUUUUUGGAACUUUGAGGUACUGCUUUAUUUGUAUGUUUGGGGGUUUCAGAGAAUCUCUGCUUAGAAGUAAAAAAGAACAAAAAGUUACUUUAUCAUCUUGAUUUCUCUUUUUUUGCACAAACCCUUUCUUAAUCAUUGGUUCUGUCGUAUUGUUCUGCUCGGCUUUGCUCAUGGAUCUCUUGAAAGAUGAUCUUGGAUAGUAAUAAGUUCAUCUUAUUAUCGCGAAACUUGUGUACCUCAGGUCUCUCAUGAAGUUUAGCGGAAAUAUAAUGUAUAUAAUAAAGAAAUGAAGUUAAACUAAAUAUACAUUGUUAAUUGAGAAAAUAACCAGACAUUUUUCUAUUCUUGGAAUGUCGAUAUGAACUUUUUAGCUUAUGAAAUAUGAAUACACAUGGUUUGCUCGAAAUGUAGUUUUUAUGUCUUUGAAGGGUGUAAAAUGGAUGCUCCAAUAGUUUGCAUUCAUAUAUUUGAUGGACCAAUAGUUUUUUUUUUUUUAAAUACUUAAAUCCAAGUUAACAUGUAGCUAAUCCAAAUAUUGAUUCCAAUCCAUAUAUAAGAAAACAAUAUAUAAUUUAGCAGUAGCAGUAUGCUGCAGAAGCUGUAUGUUCUAAACUGUUUAAUAAGAUGAUUGGUAGAACAGUAUGAGUAUGCUAUUUAAAAUUAUUAUAAAAAUUAAUCUAUAAUAUAUAAUAUAUUUAUUUUAAUGAAUAUAUUUCUAAUAUAUAUAUUAACAUAUAAAAUUAAAAGAUAUAUAAUUAAUUUAAUAAUUUAAAAAUUAUGUUUAUGUCAAAAAAUAUUAUUUUAAAAUAAAUUUUAUAAUUAAAAUAUUUAUUUAAAAAUAAUAUUUCAUAUUUAAAAUAUAAUUUAAUUCAUAUAAUUUAAUUAUAUUUUAAAUGUGAAAUACUAUACUAUUUUUUUUAGACAUAUUUUUAUUGUAAAUUAAUUUUAGAAAUCAAAAUUUUAUUUUCUGAAUAUAAAAAUAAUUUUAUGAUAUUAUUAAAUAAAAUAAAUGAAUUAAUUAUAUAUUUUCCUUAAUUUUAUAAAUUAUAUAUGCAAAUGCUUUUCUAAAAGCUUCAUAUGAGAGCAUUGACCAAAAAAAUAUUUGGAAAGCAUUAACAUUUAGUAAAUGCUUUUCUAACAAUUGUUGAUUGGAUCAUGUAGAGUAUAAUGCUAAUGCUAAUGCUCUACCAAUCAAUGCAUAAGUAUCAUAGACUAGAGGUGUGAUGUGGAUGUCCUUUUAAUCAAAUAACAUUGCAUUCUAUUUUGGACAAUUAUCUCAAAUAGAAAAAUGAUCAAAACAACUUCUUUUUGUUUUGAAAAUUUUAAUUUUAAUUUUUUAUUUUUUAAAAAAUUUGAAACCCUAUCCUCAAAACUUCAUUACCUUAACUAAACCUAAGUCUAGAUUAGUUAACCGUGGAGUAUAAAUAUAUUUUUACUUUUUAAUAAAAUUUAUUUUGGUCAUUUUUCUCUUUAAAAACUAUUUUUGUGACAAAAACUUAAAAAUGGCUUUCCUAGAUUUUUUUUUUUUAAUUCUGCUAUCAUUGAAUAUUUUGUUUUUAAUCCAAAAAGUUGGUCUCAUAGAUGGAUUUUCUCAAAUAUUAACGAUAUAUAAAAGCUAGCCGUUAUGACUCGUAACAACUAUAUGGUGAAUUCUAACUCUCAGAGAUUUGAGUUUUUUGGCUUAAGUUAUCAAAACACACAUGGACAAGUCUCUAAAACCACAGAAUAGUUAUUAGUUUUAUAUGUAUUGAAUUAAUCUUGCAAAAUGUUCGAGAUUGGCAUGCCAUCCCCUGGAAUAUUGGGAUGCAUGGAAUCCGAGAUAAAAAAAAUAUCAAUAUGCUUUAAUGGUCACGUGUAUUGCAGUAUAUGGGUACCGGUGUACCACUGACACAGCAAGUUACUAGGUACGUGUAAGAAUUACAUGCAUGACUCUGCUUGUCUAGAACAGUGGACGUAUCGUGUGUCUUUCAAGAUUCGAUUUGAAUAACAUAAAAGUUUAGUUAAUUAGCUAAGAUAUAUUCUCCUUUUCUUUUUUUUUUUUUUUGGGUGUAAAUAUUCUCCUUUUCUUAUCAUCAAAGAUAUAUUAUCUCUUUCUUUUUGGAUAACCAUACUGUCUUCCCUUCUUUUUGGUCGGUUUUGGAUGUCGAUAAAAUGUUUGUUCUUUUUUCAUGGAAUUAAUACAACAAUAUAGUUUAUUUAUCACUGAUUUGGCUGAAUAAAGGGACUAGUUUUACUUUACCACAUGUAGAAUGGUACCGUCUCAUGGAAAAGAAUGGAACCAAUGGUAAGCAAAGAAACAAAAGAAAAUAUGAAAGAGGGAGUUCCAGAAGCAGAUAAUCUCUUAAGUAACAAAGAUAAAACAAAAGAAGAAGAAGAGGAGGAGGGAGGUAAUGGUGGGAUUUUGAACAAUCUGAUAUCCAACUUGAUGGGUGCAACAACAACAACAACAGCAGUAGAUGAAAAAUCUGGUGAAAAUACUCAGAAAUCUGAAUGUGAGGAUGAAGAUGAGAAGAAGAAAGAGGGUUCAGGAGCUGGUAUCUUAGAAAAGAUCAUUUCUCAUCUGCCAGGUACGCUUUUGUUCACAAACGGGCUUACACAGUUUAAGCUAUUGUACUAAAAUGUGUGAGAUGUAUGAUGGUCUCAGUUUUAGUAGUAUAUAUGUUUGUUAAACAGUUUAGAUAUCUAAACUGUUUGAUUUGUGGAAAGUAAUCACCAUUUUGUCUCUCCCCUCCCAUAAUUAGUUAGAUAGAUGCUUCCAUGAAAUACGGAUUUUUUAUUUGUUAUCAGAGGAAUUCCAAUCUUUAAACUCAUAGUCGUCCACAGAUUUGAAAUCAAUUUUUAGAUAUUUCUGAUUUAAAGAAUAAUCCUUAAUACUAAAAAAAAUGAUUUGAAUCUGGAGUAUAAAAGAAACCAACCCCUUCCACCAACACCUUGAUUGAAGUCCGGAUAUCUAACGUCAAAUCUUUCUAAGAGAACUUGUUUUGGGGUUUGUAAAGCAUUUAAGUUAGACAAUUGUUAAUUAGUUUUAAUUUUUAACUAUUUUUUGUAAAUGCAGAAGAUGCAGUUCCAACGACAGAGGAAGCAUCCAUUCUGAUCCACUCUGUGAUUGACUGAAGAAGACUUAAACCACAAGUCAUUUUCAUCGUUGUUGUUGUUGUUUAUGUGACUUGUGAUUUUGUUAUUUCUCUUCACAAACUCUUUGUUUUCCUAUCGGAAUCUUUUCAAGGCUAACGUUGAAGCCAUCAUCGUUUUGUCUAUUUUCUUAGCUCUAUAUUUAAAAAUAAUAAAUAAAAAAGUCUGUAGUUAGAUCUGUUUAUGUUCUUGAUGCCUAUUCUCACAAACACAACAAUGCACGUAACUAAAUAUCUACAGUUUAAUAUCUUCAAGAUUGCAGCUCUAGAAAUUCAUAGAUAAAUAUAAAAAAUCUACCCAAGAAAAGGGGAUAGACUAAUCACUGGAUAACAGAUUCGAUAGAUUUCGCAUACAAUGAAAGAGGAAACAUAUGGUUCUUAUAGUUACAAAAAAAAAAAAAAAACAUAUUGUUUUGACCAUUUGGACAAGAAGCUUACAACGAAAACAAAACGAGUUCUUCAACUAUUAAACAAAUUAUGUUAUACAUUUCCCAUUCAAUAGUUAUGUUCUAUAGUUUUUGAGAAUAAUUUUUCUAUUUAGUAAAACUUGAGUUAAUGAAAUGGGUAAUCAAAACUUAAGUAUUACUAUGUUCUAUAAGAAAUAUAGGUAAAUUCAUAUAACAAUUCAUUUUGAUUCGUUAUUAUUUAUUAUGAAAAACAUAUGUUUUAUAAGUAGUGGCGGAGCCAGAAUUUAUUUUUAUUUGGGUCAAAUUUAAAUAUUAGUAUAUUUAUAUUAUUAAAUUUAUUAAUAUUUUAAUAGUAAAAUAAAUUCUAAAAUAUGAGAUUUAAAAUCAUUGAUGAAAAAAAUACCAUUGUAAAAUAUAUUUUAUAAUUUGCUAUUAUUUUCUAUAAAAUUAACAAAUGUAAAAAGUAUAAAAAUAUUAUUUUAGUCAUUGUAUUUUGAUUAUUUAGUUAUAUGUUUAUCAAACAAACAAUAUUAUACUAAAUAUGAUGAAUUGUGUAAAAUUAUUUUAAUUUUUUGUUGUAAUAUAAAAAAUGUUAGUAUAUCAAUUAAAAACAAUUAAUUCUGCAAAAAAAUAAUUUGAUAAAUUUAAUUGCUGCAAUCUAUUUGAAGAGUAGAAUUAAAAUUUUAUAAGUUUUCUACAUACAAAACGAAAUGUAUUAGUCCAAAGUCUUUUAGAUACCGUAAGAUAUCAUAUGGUCUGUAUGUAUCACAUUCAUUAAUUAAUGUAUAAAAUAAAAUUAUAAAAAUAAUCUAAUUAAACAAAAAAAUUUAAUAAAUUUACUUGAAUAUAUUAUGAGAUAAGACUAACUUUGGAUAAUGAUUAUCCAUUAAGCAAAAUAUCUUGUUUUGUCUUUUUGUAUUAAGUCGGUUAACUUCUUCCCUUAUAUAUAUUGAAAAAGAUUCAUCCUUUGACUCUUUCUUACGUAAUACAUAUAUUAUAAAAGUCAGCAUCUUAUAUCUCUCUCUCUCUCCACCGAUCCACCGAUAUAUAUAAAGAAAGAAGAAGAACAUCAGAUCCUUACUUAUUUUUCACAACACGUUAUCAGCACGAAGCUCUGACCAACUAAGGUUUAUCAAUCCGAAAGUUCUUAAACCAGCCGAGGUAAUAUUUAAAUUUUUGUAUUUCAAUAUAUUUAAUUUAUUUAAAUUUUAUUAUUAUUUCGGAGUGAGAGACUAGGCUUUCUCCGUCUAUUUAUCGGGAUGAUAGACGCUUCCUUUCCCGACUGAUCGUUAUGGUAGGCUAUGCCUUCACGAUCAGAGAUCACGUGAUAGGCGUUGCCUCCGUGAAUAAAAAAAAAUGGGUCAAAAAAUGGUAGACAAAGUCUCCUCGUACCUUGAAAUAAGUAAAAGUCAAAAUGGUAGACCAUGUCUCCUCGGACUUUGAAAAAUGAUCAAUAUGGUAGUCUAAGACUCCUCGGAUCAUGUGGUAGGCUAAGCCUCCAAUUUUAUUUAUUGCUCUUUAAAUUUCUGCAAUUUAAUUUAUGCAUUUAUUUUAUGCUUUUAAUUUAUGCAUUUAAAUUUCCAUCUUUAUAUAUUAUUAUUCUAUGAAUACGGUUAUCAUGUCAAAUUUGACAAAGAUCAAAAUAAAUGCCCUUGAUAUUACGAGAAAUAAUUAUAAGACUUGGGCAAUGGGUGCAAAGAUGCAUCUUAGAGGAAAUGAGCUUUGAGAAAUCAUCGAUAAGUUAAAACUAUAUCGGAUGAGAGAAAGAUAAAGCCAUGGUAUUUACACCAAUUCAAUGAUGGUUUAUAUGAUAAGGUGUAUCAUGAGAAAAUAUCUAAAAGAUCUUUGAUAAAUAAAUCCUUGAAAGAAAGGAUUCACUAAAUAGUCGGAGUUGAUAUAAAUCCUCCGUGAAAACUGAAAAAAAAUGAAAUCAUGAUACUAAACCAUCAAGUCGGUCCUACUAGAAAAGGACGAGGAAUUGGAUGCGGUAGAAGCCGCUAUCAUGGUCGUGGAAGAGGACGAGGAAGAAGAUUCCGUCCAUAUGAAAUAAUUAGAACUUCCACGAAAAUUAAAAGUGGUCGGGUGAUAAAAGGCAAAAAAAAAAAGUUUGCUAUAGAUACGGCCAGAAAGAAAAUUUGGUACGUAGUUGUCGUACGCCAAAUAUUUAGCCGAUCUAUAUCGAGAAUCAAAAAGAAAAAGAGAAAUGAAGUAUAUUAAACUUCGUCUCUUAUGAGCCCGAACCAUUUUUCAUAGCUUGAAUACUCAUCUUGAUGAUUCAGAUUUUCUGGUUGGUCCAGAAAAUGAAAAUAAAAUAUCGAUGUGAUAUGAGAAUUAUCUUCCUGAAUAAGAUUUUGAGAUUCAGGAUGAAGAAAAAUAUACCUGACAGGUAUUGGGUCAUCGUCAUGACUACUAAAGGUAACAAAUAUCUUUCCUCUUUCAAAUUAAAUAAGUAUAGUAUCUAGUAAUAUAAACAUAUUAUUGGCUCUAGAAGAGCUUAUGAUAAAAAGAUAUGCAUAAGAAAAAUAUGGCAAAAUUAUAAAUGAGUGGUAAACCUGAAGUUUACUGAUAUAUAGCCAUCUCCAAUAAUGUUAUCGACAUUAUUGUGAAAUGUUGAAAAACCAGAAGUUUUUCACAUAUAGCAUGUCAAGAAAAUAAAUGAAAAGAUCAUGGGUGAUGAAUCAUCAAACAAGUUCACAAUAUGUGAUUUCUUUAAGCAUGCCCCAAAUUAAGAUCUCACUCUAAAGGAUUUGAAACAUAAUUCAUUCCAAAUGGGAAAACUGAAUAUGUUAUUGGUUCUAGAGUGGGAUUCAGUACGAGAUUUUAGACAUGGAGUGUCAUCAUCUCGAGGGGGAGAAUUAAAGAAUCCUAGUGAGUGGAACAUUGAAAAAUUAUGUUCGCACUAGAAAAAGAACUUGAUAAAGUAAAUUCAAGUAAGAUGAUCCCCAUGAUCGGGUGUAAUCCAGUUGUGCAUGUAAUAAAGACAUAUACAAUCCAGAGGGAUAAAGUAUAUGGAUAAUUAGAAAUAUGCUCGCAAGUUUGCUAGAAGCAUAUGAUAAGCUGAUGGAAUGAGAUAUGUGAAAUGGAUUACAAUGAAAAGUAGAAUAAUCCAUUUACAAAAUGCCUGCCAGACAUUUUGAUGAAAUAAUGAAAUCUCAUAUUCCAGCUGAAAAUGCUCCAAUAAGAAAAUAGUGUCCUAAACGGACGAUAUAUGAGUCUAUGGCAUGCUAGAGACGUGAUAGACCACUUUGGUUCCAAAGAGUCCUCGAAAAGGAGCAAAAAUAUAAAUAGAGGAUGAAUCUCAUGAUGAGACCGUUGAUAUGGUUAAUAUAAUAGUCAGGUACCUGGGUAAAUCAUCGAUGAUGAUAAAGAGAUCUCGAUUAACCAUAUCAGUACGGGUAAAAAGAUGGAACCAAAGAGAAAUUAGACUGUCGACAAUAAAUGAAAAAGCGCUAUAUAAAUAAGGAUUAUGAAUCUACCUCUAUGUGUGAGGGUAGAGUGAAUUGAUUGGCCAUCAAUUCGAUAUAAAGCUCGUUAGAAAAAUGAUAAAUGGUUGGACCAAAAGUCCAAGGUAUAUAUUUCUCCAGAGAAUGAAAUGAAAGAUGACCUUGAGGUAUGAAAAACGGCUUGUUCCGAGGUCACUGGAGAAAAAUUAAAAUAGAUGCAGUAUAUUGAUAUGUCUGGCAGGACACAAAAUAUUUGAGUUGCAUCUAGUUAUUUAGUAGUCCCUCGAGAAUUAAUGAUGUUCUCGGGAAAGUAUAAAACUCUGGAAGAGUUAGAACAAACCGUAUAUAAGGUAUCUUGAACCGGUAACUGGUGAUAUGUUUACGGCACGAUUUGCCGAUUGUCAUUUUAAUGAGGAUGAAUUUCUAGCGUUAGGGGGAGGAAUUACAGAAAUUCCUAAAGAUAUUAUAUGGUGUACAAAAUCGUUGUUACACCUUGGCCCCUCUAUGAAUUAAAGAGAAUAGGAAAUUCAGGAAAUUGUGCAUUUUCAUAAUUUGACAAACCAGUUACCAAAUGGGUUCACAGAUACGACAUGAUAUACCCGCUGAAAAUGUUCCAUCAAGAGUUGAUGUUCCUAAAGAACAAACUGAUGGUUACAAAAUGAAUGAACCUAGGGUUCAGUUAAAGAGGGGGAGACUAGCGGGUUCUAGAGAGAAAAAUCCCCGAAAGAAAUUGGUUGAGAAAAGUUGCAAGGUUCCUGAAGAACCUGAUACUAAAAAAUGUCUGAAAGAAGACAUAAGUGGAAAGGUUCAAAGAGAACCUGAUACUGAAAGAUGUCUGAAAGAAGGCAUAAAUGGUAAGGUUCCAGAAGAACCUAAUAUUAUAAGAUGUCUGAAAGAAGGCAUAAGUGGAAAGGUUCCAAAAGAACCUGAUACUGAAAAAUGUCAGAAAGAAGGCAUAGAUAAAAAGGGUCAAGAUGAACCAAAUAGAGAUGAUCCAAAUGACGAAAAAGGAACAGAAAAGUAUGAGAUUUCCAUCAACUACACCCUUGAUAAAAAGUUAUAAGAUAAAAGAUGUUGAUGGAAUGUUCUCCUUUUCUGUCCAAAGAGAUCGAUCAUAAAAGUGAUGAUCCCGAUCCAAGGUCCAUUUUGGAAUGUUAAAAAGACAUGAUUGGGAGGAAUGGCAGAAGGCCAUUCAAAUUGAAUUAUUCUCCCAGAAUAAAAGAAAUGUCUUUGGACCUAUAGUCAUAACACCUGAGAAUAUAAAUCCUGUUGGGUAUAAGUGGGUAUUCAUGAGAAAAGUAAAUGAGAAAACUGAAGUAACACGAUAUAAAGCCCGAUUAGUUGCCCAAGGUUUUUCUCAGAGACCGGGAAUUGAUUUUGAGGAAACGUAUUCCCGGGUAAUGGAUGCAAUUAUAUUUAGAUUUUUGAUGAGCCUAACGGCAUCUAAAAAUAUUGAAAUGCAUCUCAUGGACGUUUUGACUGCAUAUUUUUAUGGAUCGUUGGAUAACGAUAUAUAUAUAUAUAUAUGAAACUCCCUGAAGGAUUGAAAAUGCCAGGGGCAUUGAAAGAAAAAUCCAGGGAGAUUUGUUCGGUCAAGUUACAGCGAUCACUUUACGGAUUAUAGCAAUCCGGACGCAUGUGGUACAAUUGCUUAAGUGAAUAUAUCUUGAAAAAGGGAUAUGUUAAUAAUGUGAUAUGUCCAUGCGUUUCUAUAAAGAAAUCGUCAUCUGGCUUUGUGAUCAUUGUUGUAUAUGUAGAUGACCUGAACUUAAUUAGAACUCAAAAGGAGGUUGAUGAUGCUCGAACUCAUAUGAAAGAGGUGUUCGAAAUGAAAGAUCUCGGAAAGACAAAAUUUUCUCUUGGGCUCCAGAUAGAGCAUCUCCGAGAAAGAAUAAUUGUGCAUCAAUCAAAUCAUACGAAAAGGUUAUUGAAACGCUUUUGUAUGAAUAAAACUACUCCUUUGAGUACUCCAAUGGUUGGUAGAUCUCUCGAUGUUAAAAGAGAUGUUGUUUUAAAAGAUCCUCGUAAGAUCUUAUAUAAAUAAGUACUUUGGAGAUGCUAAUGAUAAUAAAACAUAUGUGAGCUUAUAUGUCUUGCGAGUUGUAUUUGAUUAAAUAUACUUUUAAACUCUAAUGUCUUUGUGAGAUAUAUCUUACUGAAGUAACACGAUAUAAAGCCCGAUUAGUUGCCCAAGGUUUUUCUCAGAGACCGGGAAUUGAUUUUGAGGAAACGUAUUCCCGGGUAAUGGAUGCAAUUAUAUUUAGAUUUUUGAUGAGCCUAACGGCAUCUAAAAAUAUUGAAAUGCAUCUCAUGGACGUUUUGACUGCAUAUUUUUAUGGAUCGUUGGAUAACGAUAUAUAUAUAUAUAUAUGAAACUCCCUGAAGGAUUGAAAAUGCCAGGGGCAUUGAAAGAAAAAUCCAGGGAGAUUUGUUCGGUCAAGUUACAGCGAUCACUUUACGGAUUAUAGCAAUCCGGACGCAUGUGGUACAAUUGCUUAAGUGAAUAUAUCUUGAAAAAGGGAUAUGUUAAUAAUGUGAUAUGUCCAUGCGUUUCUAUAAAGAAAUCGUCAUCUGGCUUUGUGAUCAUUGUUGUAUAUGUAGAUGACCUGAACUUAAUUAGAACUCAAAAGGAGGUUGAUGAUGCUCGAACUCAUAUGAAAGAGGUGUUCGAAAUGAAAGAUCUCGGAAAGACAAAAUUUUCUCUUGGGCUCCAGAUAGAGCAUCUCCGAGAAAGAAUAAUUGUGCAUCAAUCAAAUCAUACGAAAAGGUUAUUGAAACGCUUUUGUAUGAAUAAAACUACUCCUUUGAGUACUCCAAUGGUUGGUAGAUCUCUCGAUGUUAAAAGAGAUGUUGUUUUAAAAGAUCCUCGUAAGAUCUUAUAUAAAUAAGUACUUUGGAGAUGCUAAUGAUAAUAAAACAUAUGUGAGCUUAUAUGUCUUGCGAGUUGUAUUUGAUUAAAUAUACUUUUAAACUCUAAUGUCUUUGUGAGAUAUAUCUUAUUUUCUAUUUAUGGAAAUUAGAACGGCGUCGAGAACAUAUUCGUUCUCUCCAAGGUACGUAUUGAUUUAGGAUUGAUUUAUCCUAGAAACCCCGAGUUUGGUAUGGUUUUGCAGAUACAUGCUAUUUAUAAAGUCGAAUGUAAACCGGAUAUGGUUUUACAAUUGGUGGAACCGCGAUCUCUUGGCGGUCCCAUAAACAAACUCUGGUUGCGACAUCUUCAAAUCAUGCAUAAACUAUUGCACUUCACGAAGCAUGUCGAGAAUGUGUGUGGCUUCGGUCAAUGAGUCACCACAUACAAGAAUCAAGCGGAAUAGUUAACGAGAAAGAGCUGACGAAAAUAUUUAAAAAUAAUUCGGUUUGGGUCGCUCAACUCAAAGAAAGCUAUAACUAGAGUGAAGUACAUCCCUCCAAGAUUUUUCUCAUACAUAUGAGAACUCGAGAAAAAUAAAGAAGUGGACAUCGAGUAUGUAUGGUCAUACGACAAUCUGGCUGACUUGUUCACAAAAACUCUUCCGACUACAACAUUCCAGAAUGCAGCAUUUGCGUGACAUGUGAUGAACUCAAAAGGAGGUUGAUGAUGCUCGAACUCAUAUGAAAGAGGUGUUCGAAAUGAAAGAUCUCGGAAAGACAAAAUUUUCUCUUGGGCUCCAGAUAGAGCAUCUCCGAGAAAGAAUAAUUGUGCAUCAAUCAAAUCAUACGAAAAGGUUAUUGAAACGCUUUUGUAUGAAUAAAACUACUCCUUUGAGUACUCCAAUGGUUGGUAGAUCUCUCGAUGUUAAAAGAGAUGUUGUUUUAAAAGAUCCUCGUAAGAUCUUAUAUAAAUAAGUACUUUGGAGAUGCUAAUGAUAAUAAAACAUAUGUGAGCUUAUAUGUCUUGCGAGUUGUAUUUGAUUAAAUAUACUUUUAAACUCUAAUGUCUUUGUGAGAUAUAUCUUAUUUUCUAUUUAUGGAAAUUAGAACGGCGUCGAGAACAUAUUCGUUCUCUCCAAGGUACGUAUUGAUUUAGGAUUGAUUUAUCCUAGAAACCCCGAGUUUGGUAUGGUUUUGCAGAUACAUGCUAUUUAUAAAGUCGAAUGUAAACCGGAUAUGGUUUUACAAUUGGUGGAACCGCGAUCUCUUGGCGGUCCCAUAAACAAACUCUGGUUGCGACAUCUUCAAAUCAUGCAUAAACUAUUGCACUUCACGAAGCAUGUCGAGAAUGUGUGUGGCUUCGGUCAAUGAGUCACCACAUACAAGAAUCAAGCGGAAUAGUUAACGAGAAAGAGCUGACGAAAAUAUUUAAAAAUAAUUCGGUUUGGGUCGCUCAACUCAAAGAAAGCUAUAACUAGAGUGAAGUACAUCCCUCCAAGAUUUUUCUCAUACAUAUGAGAACUCGAGAAAAAUAAAGAAGUGGACAUCGAGUAUGUAUGGUCAUACGACAAUCUGGCUGACUUGUUCACAAAAACUCUUCCGACUACAACAUUCCAGAAUGCAGCAUUUGCGUGACAUGUGAUGAGAAAGCUAUGUCCACUAUUCUCAGGGGGAGAUUACGGCAGUGUACUCUUUUUCCCUUGUCAUGGUUUUUGUCCCAAUGAGUUUUUCCAUGACCAGGUUUUUAACGAAGCACUACGUAAUACAAAAUGGAUAAUCAAGGGGGAGUAUUAUGAGAUAAGACUAACUUUGGAUAAUGAUUAUCCAUUAAGCAAAAUAUCUUGUUUUGUCUUUUUGUAUUAAGUCGGUCAAUCUAACCGACUUCUUCCCUUAUAUAUAUUGAUCUCAUGUUCAUUUGUAAAUGUUAAGUUAAUAAGAAGAAAAAGACUCAUCCUUUGACUCUCUCUUACGUAAUACAUAUAUUAUAAAAGUCAGCAUCUUAUAUCCCUCUCUCUCCACCGAUCAACCGAUAUAUAUAAAGAAAGAAGAAGGACAUCAGAUCCUUACUUAUUUUUCACAACAGAAUACACAAAAAUCAGUUAAGGAAAAAGAAAACCGAGCAAAGAGAAAAUGUGCUGGGGGCAAGUAAGAUAUUUGAUAUGGGAGGAAAAAAUAUUUUACUCUAUAAUAUGUACUAAAUUAAAAAAAAAAUUAUUGGGGGCAACUGCCCCCCUUCUCAAGUACGUACCAAACGUUGAAUAGAUUUUUCUAAUUCACUACAAGAAAACAUGCCUAUAACGAGGAAAAAUUACGAGGAAAUAUAUUCCUCGUAAAUUUAGGAGAAAAUUAUUACGAUUUUACGACAAAAAUAAAUUUCGUCGUAAAGUCGUAGUAAAGUUAUAAGGAAAAUGUUUCGUGGUAAUUUACGUGUAAAUUUACGUCGAUCUUACGAGGAAAGAGAAAAUUCGUUGUAAAGUCCUUGUAACUUUACAAGGCUUUUACGACGAAACAUAUUUCCAUUAUUUUUUGUAAAAACAUGUUUUAAGCAUGCUUUACCAAACUGAUACCCUCGGUUUAGAGAUUUUGGACUAACUUGAUUAGCUGCUAUCAAAGUUACACCUCGUGGACGAAUAGUUGCUGGAGAAGAAUCACAUUUGCAAGAAGAAGUGUGUAUCACUGAAGUCGAAGUAUCUGAACAACAAACUAAGGACAUCCUUCUUAUUAAUCUGGAUAACCGUCAAUAUGAAGAUCUUUUCGACGAUAUGACGGAUAAAGAAGGUGAAGAAGAGUUUGAUGCUAGCGAUGAUGAUCAUUGUACUGAUAUUGAUGAAAACUCGAAUGAUUCAUAAUGAUGUAAUAUAUGUUUUAAAUAUUUUUUUUAAAAAUAUGUAAAUCAGUUUAAAACUUAAUACAAGUGUAUAUUGUUUGAUUAUAAUAAUUAUUUGUUGGCUUUUAAGGAUUUAAUUGGAGUUUAGUGUUGAAGAGAAAAUAGGAUAAAUGGGAGAAUGGGGUAAAAGGGACAUGAUGUUAUAGGUAAGAGACUUUGGGGUUUAGGGAUUUGAUUUUCCUGGAUUCAGAUAUAGUCAUAGUAAAUUCGUCGUAAUGGAAAACACGGGCCUGGUAUAUUCCUUGUAAUACACGUGUCCUUGUAAAUUCGUUGUAAUCAUUUCCUUGUAAAGUCGUUGUAAAGAUUUCCUUUUAAAUUCGAUGUAAUGCUUCCUUGCAAAUUCGUUGUAACUAAAAACGCGGGCCUGGUAGAUUCGUCGUAAACAUGUGUCUUUGUAAAUUCGUUGUAAUGCUUUCUUUUUUAAAUUCGUUGUAAUGCUUUCCUUGUGAAUUCGUUGUAACUUUACAAGGAUUUUUUUCACGAAACAUGUUACCAUUAUUUUUGGUGAAAAUGUGUUUAAGUUGUUUUACCAAACUGAUUUCGUUGUAAGUAUUCUCAAGCCAAGCAAGUUAACUUCAUUUCAUACCCUCGGUUUAGAGAUUACGGAAUAAUUUGAUUAUUUGCUAUCAAGUGCUUGUUUGAUUAUAGUACUUAUAACUUGUGUUUUAAGGAUUCAAUUGGAGUUUAGAGUUUAAGAAAAAACGAGAUAAAGGGGAUGAUGUGGUAAAAGCGUAUGGUGUAAAUAGAUAAGUGAUUUUGGGGUUUAGGGAUUUGAUUUUUGGGGUUUCAGAUAUAGUCCUAGUAAAUUCGUCGUAAUAGAAAACACACGGGCCUGGUAGAUUCCUCGUAAUACAUGUGUCCUUGUAAAUUCGUUGUAAUGUUUUCCUUGUAAAGUCGUUGUAAAGUUUUCCUUGUAAGUUCGUCAUAAAUAUUCCUUGUAAAUUCGUUGUAAUUCUAAAAACGCGGACCUGGUAGAUUCCUCGUAACACUAAAAACGCGGGCCUGGUAGAUUCCACGUAAAAUUACAACGACUUUACGAGGAAUGUUGUUUUCUUAUAUAAACUCGAAACAUGAAUGAGGAAUGCCUCCUUCAUUCCUCUCAAACCACUCCUCUUCUUCUCUCAAAGGUAUGUUUUUUUUUAAUAUUAAUUUAGGUUAGGUGGUUAGUUUAGGUAAUUAGUUUAGGUAAUUAGAUUAGGUGGUUAGUUUAGGUGGUAAUUUUAGGUAACAAAACUAUAUUCAAAUAUUAGGUUGAGGUAUUUAAACGACUGAUUAGAUUUUUUUUAAAAAAUUAAAAACGCGGGCCUGGUAGAUUCCUCGUAAAAUUACGACGACUUUACGAGGAAUGUUGUUUUCUUAUAUAAACUCGAAACAUGAAUGAGGAAUGCCUCCUUCAUUCAUCUCAAACCACUCCUCUCCUUCUCUCAAAGGUAUGUUGUUUUUAAUAUUAAUUUAGGUUUAGGUGGUUAGUUUAGGUGGUUAGUUUAGGUAAUUAGUUUAGGUGAUUAGUUUAGUUAAUUAGAUUAGGUGGUUAGUUUAGGUGGUAGUUUUAGGUAACAAAACUAUAUUCAAAUAUUAGGUUGAGGUAUUUAAAUGACUGAUUAGAUUUUUUUUAAAAAAAUUAAAUAUAUUUUAUUUUCUUAUAAUUUUAUGUAAUUAAUUAUAUUAAUAUGUUUCUUUUUUCAAGGUGGCUCCUAAAAAGAUGGAACUGACGGUAGAAGCCACAAGGACGACUUCAUCCUACUCUUUGAGACAGACGAGACUCUCCAUAUGAAGUACGAGACUCUCCAGGAAGAAACACAUCCAACAACUACUUCGACGGCGUCCUCCCUUAGCUUUUUAUUUUUCAAUUUUUUUGUUUUCUAUUAUUAAUUUGAAUAUUAUUUUAUGACAUUUAUAUAUUUUUCUAAAAAAUAUUUUAAUUUUCAACAUUUUAUUUUAUAAUUUAUAUAUUUUGAUUUUGAAUAUUUCAUAAUAUUAUAAUAAUAUGAUAAUGAGAUGUAAAUUUCUUAUAAUGUUUACAAGGAGUUUACAAGGACGUACUUGUAAAAUCCUCGUAAUCUUUACAAGAAAUUUACUAGGAAAUACUUGUAAAUUCCUCGUAAAUAUUACAAGGACUUUACAUUAAAAGACUUGUAAAUUCGUCGUAAAUUGUACAAGUACUUAAAGACGACUUUACAAGGAAACUAUACGAAUCUUUUACGAUGAAGCGUAACUACGAAAUUACGACGAAAUACUCUCUUUCGCUUUUACAACGAAUUUAUUUCGUCGUAAAUUUCACGUGAAAGUUACGACGAAUUUUGCAUUACGACGGACGUUUUAUAACGAAACGCUAUACAUUGUUAAUUCGUUGUAAUCCUUUUAUUACAACGAAUUAACAAAGAAUAUGACCCUUGAUAAAUAUGUUUUCUUGUAGUAAUUAGUGAUAAGUGAAUUGUUCCUAACUCUUUAUAUAUUAGUUAAUAUCUUAUUAAAAUGAUGUGAGAUACUUUAUUUCUAAUACAUACUAUAUCAACAUGGUUAAAAGCUUUUGUAUCAUAUUCAAUAAGAAAUUAAACUUGAGUUUGAUACUUUUCAUUCAUACAUAGCAAAAGCCUGAACCUUUUUCUCUCGUAAGAGUAGCAAAUUUAUGAAGCAUUAAGCUUCUUUACUUUCAGUGGAUUUUUGUUGCCUAAUUGCUCAAAAAAUUAGUGGUUCAUUCAUCUUAAUCUCUCUACCUAUCUGUAAAUUUAGUGUGACGUAGGAAAAAUAUAUUUGUAGAUUCUUCGAGAUAUGAUCUUGUGGUUAGAUUGAUGUUUUGAUACUUGCCACCCAAGUGUCACGUCCCAACUUUUGAAGAAAUAAUGGGUCGGGACCGAGAGGUUUCAAACCGACCAUACUUAAUAUUUUUCUUAAGUGUUAAGCUUGUAAAAUAUCUAAGUAAGGAUAAUAUAAAAUAAUGACGGAAGUGUGUAGAAUACUUUAGAAUGAAGUAACUUAAGGGUGAAGUACUUCAUAAGAAGGAAAAGAUCUGAACCGUUAGAUCGGUUCGAUCUCCACCGUCUGUUGAGGAGGUGAUUUUGUAUAAAUAGGGGGUGAAGCCUCAUUUGUAAAAUCAUUCACCAAGUUAUAAAACAAGUACUUCCUAAAGCUCUGACCUCUCUCUAAAAGUAUUCACACUUUCUCUCUCUAAGUGCUGAUCGAGUUUAUCCAAAAAGCUAACUUAGUAACCACAAGGGUGAAAAGGUACUAAGACCGCACGUCCUGAUUGCUGAGAUAAAUCAGUCCGUGAUACAAGACUGCUCAAUAUUUCCGUUUUAAUGUAAGAGAGUAAGAUGCACCAAACAUUCUAAUUGGUGAUUAGUUUCAUGAGAGAAAAAAGAGGAAAAUUUGCCAAAACGGAACAAAAAACAAUAUAGUUGUCCAUUUGAUAUAUAUCCAUCGUUAAUUAUCCUUUUAGUAUAUUUUUCAUAAUUUCAAAACUAAUCCUUGAUUUAAAGAUUUAAUUGAAUUUUAAAAAGUUUAAUAAAAAGGAAAAAAUGUUUUAAAAACGUUAAAAUUUAAAAGUUUAUUUUUUUUACUAAAAAGUUUACAAACGUUUUAAACUUUUUACAAAAAUAAUUUUUUAUAAAACGUUUUACAAAGUUUUAUUUUUAUUUCUUUACAAACGUUUUAGAAGUGUUAAAAUUAAAAAAAAAAUUUAAUUAAAAAUGAAAAAAAACGUUUUUAAAUAACUUUUUUAAUAAAAAGUCUAAUAAAAAGAAAAAAUGCAUACACGUUUUAGGGAAGUUAUAAUAUUACAAUUGUUUUUGAUAUUUAUGACAAGAUAAAUCGACAUAUACACGUUUUAGGGAAGUUAGAAUAUUAUAAAUAUUUUUAGAAUAUUUUUUUAACUAAAACUGCUAUAAUUUUCGCCAAAAUCAGGUUUUUUUUAUCCGUAGAAUACACUUUCUACACUGCGUAAAACCAAAACAAAAAUCCCAUAAGAAGAUUCUAUUUCAUGUAGCUGUUUGAGUAGUGUCUAGAUUUCACAUUCUUGGAAUUUUAGAAUACCUCAUAAAAGUAGAAACUGCAUUCGUAGAAAAAGUAGUUAACUUUACAAUUAGUAGAAUUCGUAUUCUCCAUAUUUAAAAGUUUAAUUAAAAGUAGAUUGGUCGUUCUAAAAAAAAUUAGAUGAACUUGUUUAGUCUGGAAUUCAAUUUCUACUAACCCAUUUUCUGUAGAAGACAAAAUCUACUUUUAGUAUAACGUAAUUUAAAAUUUAAAUUUAUCAAGUUUUUCAAAAAAAAAAACUCCCAGUUUGUGUAUAUGAGUGUUUUAUCAAUUGUUUGUAUUUUUUUAUAAUUUUUUGAUUUAUUUUAUUAAGUUUUAGAAAUAGAAAGGGUAAAAAAGAGAAAAAAAGACAAAAUUUUUUUAAUACCAAAGAGACAACCAUGCUGUUUUUUUGUUCCGAUUUGACAAUUUUCUCUAAAAUUUUUAACCUCUAAUUGUCAACUCACGUUUUGACAAAAAGUUAACAGUUUUGAUUCAGUAUAAUUUAGAGAAAUUUCAUUAUCAAAAGAAAAUUUAUUUUCUGUUUGAAAAAUUAAAAAAAAUGUCGUCGUUGGGUAUGAAAAAAAGGAUUAUGAAUGUAUAUAUCUCAUUGUGGGAAGUCAAAGAUUUGCUUCUUUUUAAUAUCCUCCAUUUUUAGUCAAAAUCUUUUUCCAUAUAUUCUACGUUGUAGUCAAAUAAAAAUAUAAACAAAAUCUCAAAUUCUAUUUCAGUCUUUUCAUUCUUGUGUUUUUAGCCAAAAUCUUUUUAUAUUAUUCUAAAGAAACUCUUGUGUUUUUUAAUCAAGAUGGAAGGAGAAUCCUCUAACAGCCCUCUCAGGCUUGGUGGAGUUUCUGAAGUGACCUCGACAUCUAGUCAACUUGGUGAUGGUGCUGACAAGGAUGAAAGAUACGCUUUAAAUAUACAAGAUGCAGAGAGUAUGAAAUCUAUGCAACGGCCAAAAAGAAGAAAGAAGAGCUCAAGUUUGAAAAUAGUAGAAGUUGAGCUCAUCUUUCUUGGCUGUUGCAUAGAUUUCAUACUCUCUGCAUCUUGUAUAUUUAAAGCGUAUCUUACGUCCUUCUCAACACCAUCACCAAAUUGAUCAGAUGUGGAGGCCACUUCAGAAACUCCACCAAGCUUGAGAGGGCCAUUAGAGUGAUUCCUUUUCCAUCUUGAAUAAAAACACACAAGAGUUUCUUUAGAAUAAUAUAUUAAAAGAUUUUGGCUAAAACACACAAGAAUGAAAAAACUGAAAUGGAAUUUGAGAUUUUGUUUAUAUUUUUAUUUGACUACAACGUAGAAUAUAUGUAAACAGAUUUUGGCUAAAGAUGGAGGGUAUUAUAAAGAAACAAAUCUUUGACUUCCCACAAAGAGAUAUAUACAUUCAUAAUCCCUUUUUUUCAUACCCAACGGCAACAUUUUUUUUAUUUUUCAAGGGGAAAAUAAAAUUUCUUUUGAAAAUGAAAUUUCUCUAAAUUCUACCAAAUCAAAACUACAUUAACUUUUCGUUAAAACAUGAGUUAACAAUUUGAGGUUAAAAUUUUUAUUACAUUUUGAUCAAAUAUCUUCAGAGUCUUCCACCAGAAACAAAACUAUAUUGUAUCGCGGAUGCAUCCUGGAAGUCACCAACUGAAAAGAGUUUGAAUAGGAUGGUCCUUAACAAGCAAAGAAGGCAGUCUCAAAAUUCAAGCACUCAAUAAGUUCUACCAUGUCACCUUUGGUAGCAGAAUCUAUUGUAACGUUGCUAGCUGUUCAACAAAUGAAUCGACUUGGAUAUAAACAAGUUGUGCUUCUAGGUGACUGUGUGGAAUUGCUAAAAAUUUUGGAUCAAAUAGCGAUAGCUAGAAGCGGAAAGGAAGCAAAUAUCAUGACGCAACACCUGUAAUACAAGAUAUCUUAGCUCUAGCAGGAUUGAAUAGAUUUAGUUUUCAUCAAGUACCUAGAAAUUUGGUUCAGUAUUGUUGAUCAUCUAGCUAAGAAAGCCAGGUAUAAAAUUCAAGGAUAUGUAAUAACCUGGUUUUAAGUAUAAGCCAUUGUAAAGGAAUGAAAUGGUAGCAAAAAAAAAACACUGAGAAAAUAUAUAGCAUAACUAGUGGCGGAGCCAAAAUUUAUUUUUAUUGGGGUCAAAAUUUAAAUAUUGUUAAAUUUAUUAAUAUUUUAAUAGUAAUAUAAAUUUUAAAAUAUGAGAUUUAAAAUCACUGAUGAAAAAUACCAUUGUAAAAUAUAGUUUAUAAUUUGCUAUAAUCUUCUAUAAAAUUAACAAAAUGUAAAAAGUAUAAAAAUAUUAUUUUAGUCAUUGUAUUUUGAUUAUUUAGUUAUAUGUUUAUCAAACAAACAAUAUUAUACUAAAUAUGAUGAAUUGUGUAAAUUUAUUUUAAAUUUUUGUUGUAAUAUAAAAAAAAUGUUAGUAUAUCACUUCAAAACAAUUAAUUCUGCAAAUAUUAAAUUUUUGUUGUAAUAUUCUUUUGUUAAUAAGGGGUUUGGCAAACAUAUGUUGUAGUAAUGUAUGUAUUCUUAAGGAGGAUAUGUAAUAACCUGGUUUUAAGUAUAAGCCAUUGUAAAGGAAUGAAAUGGUAGCAAAAAAAAAACACUGAGAAAAUAUAUAGCAUAACUAGUGGCGGAGCCAAAAUUUAUUUUUAUUGGGGUCAAAAUUUAAAUAUUGUUAAAUUUAUUAAUAUUUUAAUAGUAAUAUAAAUUUUAAAAUAUGAGAUUUAAAAUCACUGAUGAAAAAUACCAUUGUAAAAUAUAGUUUAUAAUUUGCUAUAAUCUUCUAUAAAAUUAACAAAAUGUAAAAAGUAUAAAAAUAUUAUUUUAGUCAUUGUAUUUUGAUUAUUUAGUUAUAUGUUUAUCAAACAAACAAUAUUAUACUAAAUAUGAUGAAUUGUGUAAAUUUAUUUUAAAUUUUUGUUGUAAUAUAAAAAAAAUGUUAGUAUAUCACUUCAAAACAAUUAAUUCUGCAAAUAUUAAAUUUUUGUUGUAAUAUUCUUUUGUUAAUAAGGGGUUUGGCAAACAUAUGUUGUAGUAAUGUAUGUAUUCUUAAGGUUAGAUUUUGGAAAGCUGAAAUAUUUUUUUCAAAAAUUAAUUUUCACCUAUAUGUGUUUAUUUCUGUGUAUAGUAAACACUUUUCAAGUUUGAUUUGAUUUUAUGAAGUUUUUAAUUAGAUAAUUAAGUUUAGGGGUUAUGUUUAGGGUGUGGACGACUUAUAUUUCAGUCGUCUGGUGAAUAAUUUUGCCCAGACGACUUAUAUUUCAGUCGUCCACAUCGUACCGAGCCUUUAAUUUUACCAAUGUACGUUUUAACCCAACCGGAUCAUUUACCGGACAUAUAAAAGCUUUUUUUUCAAUUUUUCACAACUUUACGAAACCCUAGCGCUGUUUCUCUCCAAGGGCGAUUUCGAAGGCGAUAAGAAGAAAACCCUACCGUGAUCGUGUUCCGCCGUUCUCUUCGCCGGUAAUCUCUCCGAUUACGACAAAUCUCGUUUCUCCUUCAUGCCGUAGAGUAUUUUCGUAGUUUAAACUGACCAUCCGCUUCUUUUUUUUCAGAUCUGAAAUCUCGUUUGCCAAACUCCGCCGCCGGUAUGUUAUUUCUCAUGUCUUUAGGAGUUUAGCCGCCAGAAAACCCUAAAAAUUGUAGUCUUGAUUCUUCUUUUCCCUUCGAUUUGCAGAUCUGUAACCGCUAGGGACCACAUCUUCUCCGACCAAAUCUUCUCCGACAAUAUAUUCUCCGGCUGUAAGUCAUUCGUCUUUUGUUUAAAAGAUGGUUUUUCUAUUUAUUCAGAUAUGCAUGCUCAACAAGAUUUUGAGAUCUGUAGGAGGUCGGUUGUGACGAUUGUUGUAGUCUUUUACUGAAAGACUACUCAGACGACUUCUGGGAAGUCUUCUACGAUGUUUUACUCUUUGGACGACUUACAUGUAAGUCUUCUCACUUCCUGGAAGUCGUCCGAGUAGUCUUCUCACUUCCUGGAAGUCGUCUGCAAGUCUUCUAUAGUAUUUAGAAUAGUGCACUACCUAUGUGUUUGAGAUGGUUGUUUGUGAUUGUUUGCAGACCUUAAAAUGGAUUUACCAGAACUCCCGCCGGGGAUGUUUACAGUAGGAGAAGAGCCCGCUGCGAUCAGGAGCAUUUCGUAUCAUUCUGAUAACACGAAGUUGUUUACAGCUCUAUGUGAUUGUCUCACAGCUGACGAAUAUGAGGAUCUGAAGGCGUCAAAGUUGGGAGUGUUCAUCAAGUUCAAGGAGCUUGGCUUUGGUUGGACUUCAAGGCUGGUACAUUUUAUUCUCUGUUUCCAGCUGGACAUUAAGAAGAAGUUUGAGCUCUGGAGUCUUGUCGUUUCAGAACCUGUGAGGUUUUCGCUAAUAGAGUUUGAACACAUCACUGGUCUGAACUGCGAUUACAUCAAGGACCUGGAAAAUCCAAGCGGCUGGGAUACCUUGCCAUCUACGCAGGAUACAUUGAAGGGAAAAAGUUCUCAACCGCUACACGGGCUAGUCGUGCAAGGCUAGCGAUGGAUUUAGAAAAAUUUGAGAAUUAUCCAUGGGGGAGAGUGGCGUUUAAGGUGCUGAUGGAUUCUCUGAAGGCAAAAGACUUGACGCAAAUAGGUUACACUAUUGAUGGGUUUAUACAAGUUAUGCAGGUGUGGGCGUACUAUGCUAUGCCAGAAUUGGGUGCUAAUUAUGGGUCUCCCGUACCAAACAGCCCGUCUCCACUGUUGCUGGCUUACAAGGGUGGCCAAGGACGACGCAGAUGUUUUAAGUCGGCUAUCAAUAGAUAGGUACUUAACUUCACUCCCUAAGACUACUCAGAGACUUAAAGUUAAGUUGUCUAGAAAGUCUUCCAACAAAAAGACUUCUCAGAUUACUUAAGUACUUUAAGUCGUCUGAGAAGUCUUCCAACAAAAAGACUUCUCAGACGACUUAACUAAGUUUAUAUCUUUUAUUUACUGCAGAUUAACGUGAAAAACUUUGUUCAGAAGGACCUUGAUGAAAUGUUUCCAGAAUGGGACGGAGACGUAGAGGACCCUGCCGCGGAUAACAUAAUUAAAGUCAUGUUUAAUGAUCCUGGAUGGAAGUGGACCAUGGACUGCUGGCAAGUCACCGGUACUCACAAGGUUGUGAAGAUGGAUGUGAGUCCAGUGAAGAAUGAAGUGAGUCCAGUGAAGACGGAAGUGACUACAGUGAAGUCAGAGAGUGUUGUGAAGGAAGAAAGUAGCAGACCUCGGAAGAAAGCUCGUAAAGGAUCUUAUGUUUCUGCUGAGGCACCUGCAGCGGAUAGUGAUGGCUUUGGGAUGACGAAAGAGCAUAUUGAAAGGGCCUUCAAGGACAUAUCUGAUGCCUUUAGUGAUGGCUUUGGGACGUGCCUUAGGGAGAUCAAGUUGCUGGGGGAUAGGAUGAGAGCUGUGGAGACGAAGGUGGGAAUCACCAAAAAAGGGAGUUCAUCUAAUGAUCUUCAACUUACAACCACUUCAAAUCCACCAAAACCUGUGCACGAACCCGAGGUUAGUACCAAAACCUCUCCCAAAAUUGCAGAGAAGAGAGUCCCUGGGCAAAGUGUUAGGAAGAGUCAGAACUGAUGUGCUUUGUUUCUUGUGUGCUUUGAUGAACCAUUGUAUGCUUUGAUUCGGAACAUGUGUGCUUUGUUUCUAGUGUGCUUGGAUCUUUGUUGUAUGGAUUUUGUUUCAUGUGUGAAUUUGAUCUUUGGUUAAUAUUUUAUAAACACAUUGUGUACUCAAAUUGCAGAGUGAAAGUGUGAAUGAGGCGAAAGCAUGACAGAAUGAAGCCAAAGAACAGAGUGUUACUAUAGAACCGAGUGAGUUCCUCGACAGAGCUUUGUCUUGUGAAACCUGCAGCUGACUUACCGAGUGAUGAACCUAGUGUUCUUAUAUUGGACAAACAAGUACCCACUGCUUCAGAUUUAUUCUUGGAGGAAGCUAGAAGGCAGACAAAGAAGGAACUGCUAUGGUGAAUUUCCGUGAAAAGAGUGAGCGAGAAAGGAAACUUGCUCCCACACAGCAAACUCCUUUUAAGGGAAACAACACAGCCAAACAGAUCAUUCCAAACAAAAAAGUUGGCCAAGGCUAUGAUCCUUUUGCACCCUAUGACAAAAAGAAGUCGAAGGCUGGAACAAGAUCCGUAAGUUGCUGGAAUGUCCUAUAAAACAGCUCUUGAAAAAAAUUGAUUGAUUAUUUACAUUUUGUGUUUGCAGUUCUUAUAAACUGCCUCUGAAAAAAAAACCACGUAGAUGUCCAAGUCGGUUUUAUCAUGUCCUCCGAACCUCCUUAGAAUGUCUGACCGACCAUGUAAGUCUUCUGCUAUUUUCUUACUCUUAUACGUAAGUCGUAUGGUAGUUCUUCUGACUUGUAUUGUUUUAUAUGCAGCAAAUGGAUGCUUUUAUUAAUUUACUGAGGCAACGGUACCAAGACCAUCCACAACAUUUCAGGAGCGAGAGAAUGUGCUUUCUUGAUCAUAUAUUUUCUCGGCAGUGGAGGGCCUCCUACCCUGAUUUUAAGAGCGACAAGGGAGAUGCCAACGAUUUAGGAAGAAGACUCCCUUGUGGGGCGUGGAAUUAUCAUGCAGGCGAGAUACCUUCUUUUUGCCAAGCUAAGAAGGUUUGGGGGGUGGAUGUGGAUGAUAUCUAUGCACCUGUGAACUUCAAGAACCAGCAUUGGUUUGCUAUAUGGAUAUCGAUCCCUAAGAGGCACAUAGUCGCCUGGGACAACAUCAUCAAACAAGGCCCUGAAGAACUCGAUGAGGUAAUGAAGCAUUUUGUCACAAUGGUCCCCUAUCUGCUUGUUGAGUGUGCUGUCUCUGGCGAACAAAAGGUUCAAUACACAUUGGAGCCAUACACAUAUGAGAGACAAACCGUUGGAGUACCUCAGUGCUGAGCUGGUGAUUGUGGCCCCUUCACUCUGAAGUACAUUGAAUAUCAUACUCUUGGGAUGAAAUUUCCCAAAGCGUUUUGUACUAGAAACGGGAAGACUAUCAGGGAGAAGAUGGCGGUGGAUAUAUUUCAAGAGCUUCUUAUAUGCCAUGAGUGGGAAAACCAAGACAAUGAUGAGAACCUGGGAACGUAUGAGUAGAUAUUGGAUGUGUUAUUUGUAUUUGAACUUGAUGCUUUUGUGUACUGUUGUAUGGCAGAUUAGGCUACGUUAACAGGGUCAGGAUAGGAUGAUGUUUUUUGUAACCUAUCCUCAUACCAAACUAGAAUUCCGUAGGAAAUUAGUUUGGUAGUGCAGUAACCUUUCGGAAAAUGUAAUGUUUGACUUGUCUUUUUAAAUUGCAUUUUCGUUGGACGACUAACCAGAAGGUCUUCUGGACGAUUUACCACCACUUCCAACAAAAAGACUUCUCAGACGACUUAACUUUAAGUCGUCUGAGUGAUCUUUUUGUUGGAAGACUUCUCUGACGACUUAAAACAUAAAGUCUACAGAGAAGUUCAUAAAACAGCGAGUCUACAGAGAAGUUCAUAAAACAUAGAGUCUACAGAUAGAUAGAUAGAUUCGAAGACAUGAGAGAAUUCUAGUUAAGUCGGUGGACGACUAACCAAAAGGUCUUCUGGACGACUUACUUAAAGGUCUUCCACGUCAGUUCUUACAUUGUGGACGCUUAUGGCCAGUUUCUUUGCAGACUGAGCACCUAUAAACCCUGUGUUGCUUCUGGGGUGUGCAUCCUCUCAUCCUGGAUAGCUCCAACCAAGAUUGCCAUCUUGAUUUCUUCUGUCUCCUCGGACCACGCUUUACUUCCAGAGGAAAGCUUGUGCGUGCCUCAACUUGUUGUCCAACACAAGGAUGUACAUUCUCUGAGUAUCCUGCAAACAAAGUAUCCUUUGAGUAGACCGGCCACACAAGUGUGGAGAUAUGCACACCAGCUGCUGUUCCAGCUGCUAUAGCAUGAGAGCAAGGUAUUUUCUCGACUUGAUAGACACCACAAUCACACUUUUGAAGUUCCAGAUCAACAUUACAGUCCCUAUUGCCACCUUUCACAAAGAACUUCCAUCCAUCAAUUUGUUGGAGUCUCAGAGUACACGCGAUCUCCUCUCGAACAGCAAGCAAGUGUUCAACACCCCGACUAUGUUGAGUUGUAAGAUUCAAAGCAUCUCCUCUCCUUUUCCAAUACCACCUUCCUAGCUUCUCCCUUAUGAACUCCAGCAGGAACUGAAUAGGAAAUCCUCUUGCUCGCUUCAGUGCGGAAUUAAUUGAUUCAGCAAUAUUGCUCGUUUUUAAGUUGUACAUGUCUCCCUGACAAUGAACCCUUGACCAUAGGCUCACAUCGGCAUCCUCCAGAUACUCAGCAAGAUCCGGAUUUGCACUCCGUAUCUCAUCCAUGUACCGAUCAAAAUCGUAAAGUGUAUGAGCAUAAGCAGCACCUUUCACCAAGUACAAGAGAUGCUUCCCUUUAUACUUUUUGACAAUAUUCUCAUGAAGGUGAUAAUAACAUAUUUCUCGGGUUGCACAAGGAAACACCUUUUCACACGCUUUUAUAAUGGAGGAGUGCCUGUCGGAGACUAUCACUAGAGGAUACUCAUCAGAUACACAACUCGCCAAUUUUGUGAAAAACCAUUCUCAAGAUUCAUCAUUUUCACCAUCUACGAUCCCAAAGCCAAUGGAUAUAUCUGAAAAUUACCGUCUUGUGCGGCUGCAACCAACAUAGUACCCUCAUACUUCCUACUUAGGUGAGUUUCAUCCACCACAAUGACCCUUCUCUGAUACUUAAAACCUCUGAUAGAAGCUCCAAAAGAGAGAAAUAGAUACUUAAAUCUAUUCAGAGAAUCAAGUUCUAUAGCAGUGAUAGAACCCGGAUUUGCUGCCUUGAUUUGCUCCAAAUAUGAAGGCAGUCGCUCAUACCCAUCUUCCACUGAUCCUCUCACUAUUUCUUGCGCAUAUAACAAUGCUCUGUAUGAAGUGGUGUAAUCAAGUGUCAUACCAAACAUGUUCUUCAUUGCAUCUUUGAUAUGCUUAUCCUCAUACCAAACUAGAAUUCCGUAGGAAAUUAGUUUGGUAGUGCAAUAACCUUUCGGAUAAUAUAAUGUUUGACUUGUCUUUUUAAAUUGCAUUUUCACAAUCAAAACACAGAGUAGUCCAUAAAACAUAGAGUCAUAUAAGAGAUAAGUCGGUAGAAAACUAAUCAGAAGGUCGUCUGGACGAUUUACCAGAAGGUCGUCUGGACGAUUUACCAGAAAGUCGUCUUGAGCCAUUGCAACAAGAUCAGCAUGUGUCGAAACUUCACUCAAAAAUAACAUUCUCGCUCCUUUGAAAUGAUCAACCACAAAAUUCCAACAUCCAUCUUUCAACAACCAUUCUUCAUACACUGCAUGUAACUGACGCAUCAUCUGAAAAGUAUAAGUGUCAUACCAAACAUGUUCUUCAUUGCAUCUUUGAUAUGCUACGUAUUCAACAUCAAUGAUUCCAACUCGAUCUAUGAAAAGUCGACCAAUGUACUUCGGAGUACAACGUUUCCGCUGAGCGAUUCUGUCUGGGAUGGAACAUGUAUGAGUUGCCAAAUACUUGGUUACCCAAAACGUUUUAGUCCCAUGUUUCACACUUGCUCGGACCUUCCAUUGACAACCACUAACACGACAUGUUGCCACAAACAGAGUUUUCGUUGACUUGAAUAUUCUGAAGGAGAACCUACGCCUCACCGCUGUCAACCGCAACUCUGAAAGCAGUGCAUCCUAACUAGCAAAACUCUGGUUGACAUAGAUUCUGUCUGCAGAUGAUCCUUUUCCUUCACAACCAUAUGCCCCUUUGUAAUCUUCAAAACAGAUUUUAUCAACUUUUUCCUCAUCCUCGUCUUUAACCUUUCCAUAUUCACUAUAAUCCUCAGCAUCAGCGGCAACAGGGAUGUGAGCAUCCUCCUCCCCAUCAUGAUCCUCAGCUUCAUCCCCCUCAUCAGCUUCAUCCCCCUCCUCAUCUUCAUUCCCCACAUAGGCUUCAUCCCCCUCCUCAGCUUCAUCCCCCUCUUCAUCUUCAUCGCUCACAUCAGCUUCAUCCCCCUCCUCAGCUUCAUCCCCCUCCUCAGCUUCAUCCCCCACAUGAUCUUCAUCCCUUUCCUCUGAAACCGUUCUCAUCUUGCUAAAGCUUGAUACACAAAGACGUACUUCAUGCGUUUUAGUUAUCUCGAGCAAGUUCCGAACUUGUCUAUCACUUGUAACAUGAAUAGGAGGAAGGUCUGGAGCCAUCUGUUGUAAUGAGUAGGUUAACUCCACAGACUCUGUGUUCAUGUCCAGGUUAUAAUCUUCUUGAGCCAUUGCAACAAGAUCAGCAUGUGUCGAACCUUCACUCAAAAAUAACAUUCUCGCUCCUUUGAAAUGAUCAACCACAAAAUUCCAACAUCCAUCUUUCAACAACCAUUCUCCAUACACUGCAUGUAACUGACGCAUCAUCUGAAAAAGUCAAAAUAAAACACAUUAGCAAACAUAGAACAAAGAAAACGAAAGUUUAUUAAAGAUCGACGCGGACGACUUCAAUCUAAGUCUUCUAGACGACUAAAAUAUAAGUCGUCUGGUCAACGCAGAGGCUAUUUUUGCAAUUGACUUUGAAAUCUGUUAUCUGAGACGACUGAAAAAUAAAUCGUCUACUUUUGUUUGGUUAAAAAAACUCCAAAAAAGCUAGACGACUUACAUUUCAGUCGUCAUCGGUUAGUUUUGCAUUUGACUGGAUUAUUUCAGAAGUUUGACUUUCCUUGACGACUUACAUUUCAGUCGUCUGGUGAAAAAUUGAAAUAUCAAUAUUUUAUUUAAACUCGACGACUUACAAUAAAGUAGUCAUAGGUUAGAUUUGCAAUUGAAAAAUAAAACUUCAAUAUUUAAUUAUAUAUAGACGACUUACAAUUCAGUCGUCCGUCCGACGACUUACAUGUAAGUCGUCCAGGAUUUACGAGGUUUGACCAGAAUCUCGGAAUAAAAUUUUGGACGACUUACAUGUAAGUCGUCGGGCGGACGACUGAAUUGUAAGUUGUCUGGAUAUAAUUAAAUAUUGAAGUUUUUUUUUCAAUGGCAAAACUAACCUAUGACAACUUACAUGUAAGUCGUCGGGUUUUAAUAAAAUAUUGAUAUUUCAAUUUUCCACGAGACGACUGAAAAAUAAGUCGUACAGGAAAGUCAAAAUUCCGACAAAAUCCAGUCAAAUGCAAAACUAACCUAUGACGACUUAUAUGUAAGUCGUCUAGGUUCUUUGGAGAAUUUUUUGUAACCAAACAAAAGCAAACGAUUUAUAUUUCUGUCGUUUCAAGAAAAAAAAUUUCAAAGUCAAUUGCAAAAAUAACCUCUGCAUUGACCAGACGACUUACCUGGGAAGUCGGCUGGACGAACAGAUCUGAAAAAAACUUGAUUUCAUACCUUAAAUUGGUGAGAUAACUUCCUUAGCACACAUAAGGCUUCUCCAAGCACACAAAAUUUCAAAUGAAAGUGACCCACCCAAAAUCGUUAGCUUCUAUGACUCUAUGAACCAUAAAAUAUGUAGAAUCAAAAUCUUGGUUUUUUUUAGCUGAAUGUGGAGAGAAAAUGAGAGAGAUGUUGUGUUUAGUUCAUAAGAAUGGAGAAAGAAAAAGGGUAAAUCGAUUUUGGGAGCAUUAAGAGCUUCAAAUUGGUUGUUCAUGGUGGUUGGGGUAUUGAUGACAAUGGCAAUCUUGUAAUUACUUGAAAAUGAUGAGGGUGAGAGAGUUAAAAUGUCAUUUUCGAAAAGAAAAAAACAAUUUGAUGGCAUUUUCGUGAAUUAUAUGAACUUGUGGGGUGAAUAGGCAAAAAUAAUUUCCAAAAAAAAAAUGGAGGUUAGCUUUGUGUUUGACUUUGAGUUCUAGGUCAAUUUUGCAAAAAACCCAAUUUUAUAAGCUUUCUACGUAAAAAAUAAAAUGUAUUAGUACAAGUCUUUAAUACCGUAAAAUAUCAUAUGGGUCCGUAUGUAUCACAUUUAUUAACUAAUGUAUAAAAUAAAAUUAUACAAAUGAUCUCAUUAAACAAAGAAAAUUAGUAAAUCUAUUUGAAUACACAAAAAUCAGUUAAGAAAAAAGAAAACCAAACAAAGAGAAACUGUACUGGAGGCAAAUAAGAAUUUGAUAUGAGGCAAAAACUAUUUUAUUCUAUAAUAUGUACUAAACUAAAAAAAAAAUCGUGGAUGCAACUGCCUACCUCGACGUACGUGCUUCCGCCACUAUCUAAUGACAAAGAUAACAUCACCCAAAAUAUUUGAAAAACACUUCACUUUGAUAAAAAAAAGUGUCAUGGUUUUUUUUGGUAAAAAAGGUGUCAUUGUUAUUUUCUUAAACAUGGUGUUUCUGUUGUCAUUUUCUCUAAUUACUCUUAACAUGUUGCAGAAGAACAUCAUGAUCUAGAUAGCUUUCAAAGGUGUAGUGGCUCAACAGAAGAGCCAAGGAUCUCAUAAGAAUGUGAGAAAACAUCGGUUGUCCUUCACCAGCUUCACAAGAACAAGAAGCUGACCAGAAUCCAAAUGAAGAAAGUGACCACAAUCCAAACGAAGAAGAUGAUGAAAAAGAAACCAACAACACCGAGCCUCCAUGUAGUGGGUGGGUGUUUUGUUUCACACCUGAUUAAAGUUGUUCGACCCAUUAUUUAUCAGUAAUGGAAGUUCCUGCUAUUUCAGAUUAUUUGAUUAAUAUAGAGAGGUGAUUGAAAUGUUUCAGUGUAAUUUGCAAAAUAUCUUUUUUUGUGUGUUUAUAAUCUCUUAGUAUCUUCCAGUAUUUUUGUAAGUAACUUAAUAAAUGCAUAAUAACAAAUUAGCAACACAUAAAUAAAAAAUCGGGCAAAUUUCCAAAAUAGCACAUUUCUAAGUUUAUCCUUUGAAAAUUUUAAUUUUUUUAUUUUUCAAAAUUUGAAAUCUUAUCCCCAAAACUUCAUUUCUCAACUCUAAACCCUAAACCCUAAAUCCUCAACCCCAUCCUUUAACUCUAAACCCUAAACCCUAAAUCCUCAACCCCAUCCUUUAACUCUAAACCCUAAACCCUAAAUCCUCAACCCCAUCCUUUAACUCUAAACCCUAAACCCUAAAUCCUCAACCCCAUCCUUUAACUCUAAACCCUAAACCCUAAAUCCUCAACCCCAUCCUUUAACUCUAAACCCUAAGUUUGUGACUUUUGAUAAUACAUUAAAUGUUAUUUUUGUGACUUUUGACCUUAAAUGCUAGUUUGGAAACAUGAACUUGAUUUAGUGCUAUUUUUGUCUUUUUCUCUAAAAAAAUCACGGAAAUUGAGUCAAUUAAAAAAAAAAUUUGUUGUAUUACUUCAUCCAAAAAAUAGAUAUCACCGUAUUAUACCAGUACAUUACUAACACAACAAACUUCAAAUCAUGUUGUAUAAACAAAUUAAAUGAAUAAUCAAAGAAUAAUUUCAUCAUAUAAUAAAGAGAGUAUGUUUAUUUUGUAUAUAUUAUUAUUAUAUGUCUUCCUCUUCUUUAGCUCCAUCACUGCCGGAUCCAAUCGUCGUCGUCUCCGUCUACGGCCUGAUCUCCUCCAACUGAUUGACCACCUGAAUCGCUUCUGGCCUCGCCGCAGGCGACGGGUCAACACAGUGUAAAGCCAAUUUCAACGUAUUGAGAAGCUCGUCACCAACGGUUUGGGUCUCCCUCAUAAGCUCAAGAUCGAACACUUCAUUGGUCCACUCCUCCUUCACGAUCGACGCCACCCACUGAGGCAAAUCCAUCCCGCUCGUCGGCUCUCCUGGAGAUUUCCCCGUCAAGAGCUCAAGUAUGAUGAUCCCUAAGCUGUACACGUCCGUCUUCGUGCUCGCGUUCUUGAUUUUCGAGAACUCCGGCGCUCUGUAUCCGAGAGUUCCGGCGGUUGCGAUCACGUUGGUGGCGGCGGCGGCUGUCAUGAGGCGGGAGAGGCCGUAGUCGGCGAUGUGUGCGUUGGUCUUCUCGUCGAGGAGGAUGUUGCUGGCCGUGAGAUUCUCGUGGAUCAUGUUCUCGUUCUUGUGAAGGUGAGCUAAGCCGCGGCUGAUUCCUUUCGCUAUCUUCAUCCUCGUUUGCCAUGGAAUUAGGGUUUCUGGUCCUCGUGCUGUUGAUUUUCAAUUCCCAAAUUCAAAAUCAGAAAAAAAAAUUCCCAAAAUCCAAUCAAAGUUAGGGUUUUUUUUUUUUUUAUGUUGUUGUGCUUACCGUGAAGAAACGCAGAGAGAGAGCCUUUAGACAUGUAAUCGAAGACGAGGAGCUUCUCUCCUUUAGGUCCUAAGUAGUAAGCUCUUAGUGCAAGCAGAUUCGUGUGUCGAAUCUUGCCUAAAGCUGUGACCUCUGCUUCGAACUCUUUGACCCCUUUGGUUGUUUUCUCUCUCAGCCGUUUCACAGCGACCUCGUUUCCGUCUUCCAAUGUUGCCUUGUAUGCUGUGCCGUAAGUGCUUUUCCCCAUGAUCUCAGCCGUUGCACAGAGGAGGUCGUCGGCAGUGAACACAAACGGACCAUCGAAAUGGACCAGCUUUCCUCCCAUCUCACCUCCUGCUGAUGCUGCCGCAGUUGCGGUUGCUGUCUUCUCGGUGAUCUUGUCCUUGCCGUCUUUUUGUUUCAAGGCUGCACGUUUCUUGAUCAGACAGCAGAGUAAUAUGCAGCACAAGAGAAGGAGAACGGCUAGAAGAGCUCCUAUGGCGAUUAGGAUUAUAUCUUUGACCGAGAGUUUUCUGUGGUGUUUUCUUGGUUCUUGUGGUGAGGUAGGUGAAAGGGUGGGAGGAUGAUGAGGUUUAGGAGAAGGGCAGGGAGACGCCGAACUGUAGCCACAGAGCUGAAUGUUGCCCACGAAAGAGCUUGAGUUGAACUUUCUGGAGAGAACAGGCGGGACAGGACCAGAGAGCGUGUUGAAGGAGACGUUGAAUGAAGAAAGAUUCGCCAGGUUGGCUAGGGAGGGAGGGAUUAGACCGGUGAAGUUGUUUUCAGACAGAUCAAGUUGUCUGAUUCCAGAUAUGUUCCCGAUUCUCUCUGGGAUGGGACCAUUGAUCUUGUUUCUCUUGAGGUUAAGCACUGUCAGGUUGUGCAGUCUAUCGAUGCCAUCUGGGAUGGUUCCGUUGAUUGAGUUGUAAGACAAAUCAAGGCUCUGAAGGUGUAGAAGAGCUCCACAUUCCUUGGGAAAGGAACCAAAGAGCUGGUUAUGGCUUAAAGAAACCUCUUCGAGCAAACUCUGCUUGCAGAGGGACAACGGAACAGGUCCAGAGAAGAGAUUGUGGUCUAGGUUCAGCUUUUUAAGAGGGUGAGAGCCAUUAACCGAAAAGUCGGGUAUGGAACCAGAGAGGUUGUUAUGCCCAAGGUCAAGAAAAGUGAGGGUGUAUGAUCUGGCUACUGUAACCGGAAGGGGACCGGAGAGUAAAUUGAAGCUGAGAUUGAGCCUAUAGAGCCUGGUGGACUCAGCAAGACUAGCCGGGAUGAUUCCAGAUAACUGAUUAUUGCUAAGAUCAAGAUUUUGGAGAAGAGGGCAGUUUCCAAGUGAAGCUGGGACUGAACCAGAGAGACGGUUGUUGAAGAGAUAGACUCCAUGCAGGUUCUUGAGAUAGCCAAGGGAACGGGGAACCGAACCGGCGAGGACGUUGUCGUGGAGGCUAAGUUUUCUGAGAUUCUGAAGCUGUCCGAUCUUCUCCGAGAUAGUGCCACCGAGUCCUUUCCAUGGGAGCUGAAUGGCUACCACUUGGCCUCGAAGGCAUUUGAUUCCAGCCCAGCCGCCGGAGCAAACACUGGUGGUGGAAGAGUCGUUCCAGCUUCUAAGAACUCCGGUGAAGUCGAUGAGUUCGUGUUUGAUUGCUUGGAGCGCCUGAUAGUUCCCCUGAGUCACCACGAUCCCAUCCCAGGAGUGACCACCACCUGCAACAGCUUGAGCAGACAAGAGUAAGAGACACAAGAAGAUACUCGUGCAAAAAGUGAAACAAAUUUCAUAAAUCCGAAAUGGGUUUUUGUGAAGCUGAUUCAUUUCAAAACUAUCGAAGUAAAAAAAAAAGAAGGAAAAAAUGAAAACAAAGAAGAAGAAGGAUGAAGAAGAGCAGCAGAGUUAUAGUUCUUUGUUGUGUUCUUCUUUUCGUUUGUUUUUGGAUGACAGCAAAGAAUGAGAGUUAGAGAGAGAAGUUUGAUUAUUAGUGAGAGAGGGAAAGGAAUUUGUGAGUGACUGAGGUGUUGAGGCCAAGAGUAAUUAUGGUGAGAGUGGAGGAAGAAGAAGACAAAGACAUAAGUUUUGUUUAUGUUUAUUGUAACGGCUAGUUUUACUUCUUCGGCAAACAAAAAAACGGGAAGCGAGAAAAACAUGACCAACGGCUAUAAAGCCAUUUCGACCGUUUAAUCUUUAAUGAUUUAAUUAAAAUGUCUCGACAGUCGUUGGAUUGUACAGAGAUUGUGACCGUGGGGGUCGUCCUAAUAAUAAUUGUUCCAAACUCGCUAAUCUAUAAUUCUAUUUUUAUGUUCAGACAACAACAAACUAAAAAGAUUCUAUCCUAUGACUCGGUCAAAAGUUUGACGGCCACAUCAGCCCUACCAGCAAUAGUAAACACAUAUGUGUAUACACGGUAACAUUCCAAAAUCCGUGGCCCAAUUCAAGCCCAACUCUAUCGGCUUGAAAUUUCGGUGAUUCGGAAUAAGAUGUCAAAUUGGAUUUUCCGGAGUAUAUCCAGUUGAUUUGUUCGAGUGAAAGGUUUCUGGUUGUAUAGUAAAAGAUUAAGGACUCUUCUUGCCAGAUAAUAGAUGGAAGAAACAUCUUAUGUGACCAAGGAUCAUGGUUGCUUGGUCCACAAUUAAUCUGGCUAAAUACGCCGCUUCGGUGAUCAUGCAAACUCAUAGUUGGAAUCAAACCGUUUGCAAGUAGGAGAACCAACCUAGUGUUCAAGAACAAUCCCAGAAAUGAGAAGCAAAUCUGAUAGGGACAUGAGUAGAAAGUGAAUAACAAAAGGGAAGCUCCUAUAUCUCCAAAAACAAUUCUAAGGUUUUAAAAACCUAUGGCCAUGCUUUGGAUUAAUUAUCGACGUUGAAUCGGAUUUGAACAUAAAAAAAAAGAAUCAAGAAUCAAAUUUUUUUUUGAGCUCCUCCCUCUUUGUUGAAUAAUUGUGUUACAAGUCAAACGAGAUGGAUUAAAGUUAAAAUGGUCUCUGCUUAACCGAUGAUUGCAUUAUGCAUAACUUGAAAGUCUCUUUUUACAUUAAUUUACUCGAGAAUAAUGGUCAGAUCGACUAACUCCGCCAAAUGUAAACACAUUUUGCUCAACUUUUUAUUUACCAAAUAUAACACAGUUUACACCCAAAAAUUUAAUACAAUCUAUAUCCUCAUCACUGAGAAGAAUAAAUCAACUCGGAAGGCAUCAAGGUGAAAAAACAUGAGUUAUGACAAUAAAACAGGGAACGUUGAAAAACAGAUCCUAUAAUACACUCACAAACCUGUCCAAGUAUAAAAUACAAAGCUCUUCAAAGGUUUUGUCCACGGAGUUUGAGACUUCGAUGAUAAAGUUACAUAGAUAAAUUCUACAGCAAAAAUAACAUACAAGAAGGAAAGAAAAAACACAGCCCAAAACAAACAAGUUCCAUAUAUAUUUUUCUUCUGUGGGAGAGACCGUAGGAGAUAAAACAAGUUAGAAAAGCUAUACUUGUUCCUAUAACGAUCUAAAGAGCAUGUGUUUUUGCGGGAUCAGAUCAGAGCUACAAGGGAGGGAACUCGUGAUCAUCCGCCAAAUAGUAUGACUGCGAAGGUGGUGUUCCCCUAAAUAUACAUAUACCCACAAUGAAUUAGACACAAUGAAGUGGAUUUGAUGAAUAGCCAAAUAAAGUUGAGGGUAAUAAGAGAUUGUACCGAUCUUCCUCCGUGGAGGAGGGUAUAGAUGUUGGGCGAUGUGACUGAUUAUAAUAACCUUCAACGCUCAGGUCACUCUGACUACUGCCCUCGGGAGGGGAGCGUAGCUCAGCUUCCGUAGAUCUAAAAUCUGGAGCCAUCUCAUGUUGAUGAUUUACAGACCCAUUGGCAUCAGAGAAGCUUUCAAACGAAUCAACUUGACUCAUAUCACUAGAACCAUUUGCUUGGUUGGAAUGAUGUUGAUGAUGAAGCUGUUGACGACGAUGGUCUGAGUGAAAAUGUGCCAUGUUACGGCCAUUGUUACGUGGCGACCUAGUUUGGCUUGAGUUUCUUCUUGGAGGGAACGGUCUAUCUCUGUAAAAGUUCUGCACAAAAGAGACAUUAAGAAGCGUUUAAAAUAGAUGAUAGUGAGGAAGCAUAAGUAAUUACCGCAUUGGGAAAGUAUGUCCCAGUUCCUCGUGGCUUAGGCAAUUCCUCGAUACCAAAAUUAGCAUUUGGAAUCAUCUGAGGGUUCAUAUGAAAGAAAACUUGUCUCGGAACAACUCCGUUAACGUUUACUGGUCCGGGGGCAUUCCGACCAAAUGGCAAUGCGUGUCGAACUACUUCCCAUGAAUUGUUGUUCGGAAGUCCAUGAGGAGAUAGUGGAGACAGAGGACCGUUUUGGACAUAAUCAUACCACCAACGCCCGUACCGUAAACUGUUAAGCUGGCUCUCAUGAUCUCCUGUGAGGUCAGACAACAAACUUGGGGUGUCUGAAACAGAAUGACCAGAGUAUUGAAGAUGCAUAUCCUCUUGUAUCACAGCUACUGGAUCCAUGAGUGACGUGUUAUGCACUGAACCUUCAUGACCAACAUGGUCGUUCACGUUCUCAUUACUAUGCACCCUUUUGGAAAAAUUCCCCACCCCUUUUCCAUUUAAUACUUCACAAUUUCUGAUGUGAUGAUGUUUACCAUUCAAAGGAGAGACACUUUCCAUAGCAUCUUCGGAAAUUUCAAGCUUUUGAAAGCUCACACUAGCCAACUCUUCUUUUGCAUCUCCAGAAGGGGUUGUUUCAACAUGUAAUCCGCUUACAUCAAGCCUAGGUUCUGUACUCAAUACAUUGGCUCCUCCUGCACACAACAAGUCUUCCUGGUCAUGUCUACCAUUUCCAGCUGCAGCAGCAGCACCAGAUGAACUAGAAGAUUCCGAUUCAUAAGCCAUUUGACCAUCUUGGAAAUGGUUGGCAGUUGAAACAUGUGACCUAUUGAACCUUACGUAGGGAACAACAUCAGGCCUCUGGCCACUUCCAUGUCGGUGUAGCAUGUUUGAGAAGAACUUACGAAGCUCAAAACUUAUGUCUUCUUCUGACUGCAAAAAUAUUUGCCCAAGCUUCCGAGCACCAUAUGUGAAUGCACUUCGUAUGCGAUAGAAAUUACCUGCGUAAGAGAAAGUAGUAACCAUCCACGUUACAAUUUUACCAAAACAGGGUAUUCUAGAUCAUAAACUCCACCGACAGAACAUACUAAGUUUAACGAUUUAAAUCAAGUUUAUACAGUUCCUUUGCUGGUCAAUAAGACAUGGCAGAAUAUCAAAACCUUAAUUUUAGCUUCACUUAAAAUCUCGGCUCCCUAAUCAAAUAUUUAAGGGAAACCAGUAUAAUAUAACAAACUCUUGAUAAGGAAAACAAAAAAAUCUUGUGUUGGUUGGAGAAAAAGAAUUAGUGGUAAACCUUUGCUAACGCUGCGGCCAAGAUUAUUAUUUUCCUUAAGUGGAUCAAUUAUAUUGAGAUGCCUCACUGGAAACACACGUGGGUUUGUCUCAAAUCCUCUUGAAGGUGCAGAGUACAACUCCAAACAUUCCUUGAGGAACUCACUGGUCAGCAGUAGAUCUUUCCCGCCAUUUUCUGGAGUCUCAACUACAAUAAAAAAAAAAGAAAGAAAUGCAGACACUGAAAUUAAAAAAUAAUAAUCUCAGUUUAUAUAAACUUGUGGAAAUGCUUACCAACGAUUUCUGGUAGUGACAGUGAGGAAAGGAUGACUGGACCACUCAGGCUAAUGCAAUAGUUAUCCCAGUCAAACUUGCUGAAGUAGUCCAAAAAUUUGUAUAAAACCUAUAGAAAACAAAAGCUUUUGUAAAUCAAAGAUGAGACUUUAACCAUGAUUCCUCUCUUCAAAAUGUACAUUCUUACAGCCAGUGGGCCAUCCAACGAUGAGUGGAAGAGAUGGAAAAUAUAUAAGACCAACGUCUCCAGAGCAUAUGUUGAGAUCAAUCCAUGUAGAGCCCCAAGAAUACGGCUCUCGUAGUAGCACCAAGCUUUGAUGAGUAUGAUACUUUUCUUGAAGAGAUGGUCCUUUCCAAUGAGGUGAUCGAUCUGCGUAAUCAAAUCGUCAACGUCAAUCUUUGCCUUCUACUAUUGCAUCCUAUGAAAAUGCUCUUUAAACAUGUUAUUACACGCAUGUGACAUUGCAAAAAAUUUAGAAUAUUUAAGAAAAACUAUUGAGUUAACAGAAAACCAUUCAUGCAAUUGAUAUAUUGAAUCAUUAAUAUAUAUUUACCUUUAAAAAGGUUAGUUAAAUUUGUUUGACGCAGCAUGGUGAUACUGAAGAGGGACAUAUUACCUUCUCGAGAAAGCACAAAGUACAAAUCCCACCGAGCUGAUUGAAAGAGAUAUCUACCACAAUGUUCUGCACCAGACAUUUAACAAGCUUAACCUGCAAACAAAUAAGAAAGGCUUGCUACUUAAGAGAUUACCAACAAACAAAAAAAGAAAAGAUCAACAUGCAUAAACACUUAACUCACGACAGAAACUAGUUUAUAUUUUAAAAUAUAAAUCAUGAAUAAGAUAGAGAGUUGGUAAACGAACCUCAGCACGUAUUAACUGGACAUCCUUAAUCAUAAACUGUGCACCCACAUUAUGUUCCUCCCUCUCAAGUACAGUGAAAACUUGGUGGGCCAAAUCUUCCUCGUGACACGGUCCACCAAAAGCUGUGAGAUCAAUAUCUCCAUCAGGAAGAUACGUUUUCAAUGGGACUGAUCCAAAAGAAUGUACCUGAAAACACACACACACACACACAUACUAAUUACGUUAUACAAAGAGAGCCAUCAACAUAAGAAUCACAAAACACAGUAUACUACAUGAAUAUUGAUAAGAAUCCACAUGUCAAUGCAAAGACAGAGGCCAAUGUUAUAACGAUAUUAACAGAAAAGGUUUUAAGAGAAUGAACCUCACAACCAAGAGUCAUACUGAUUAGUCUUUGCAUAUAGUCAAUUACAUCUCUUCUUCGAUCCUCAGACACAAGUGUUGGAUGAACAUGCUCUAUAAUUUCACGGGUAGCUUCCUCAACUCUGUUCCAGAACUCGGGCUGAACUGGGAGAGACCGAGGAGGCGGCUGAAAUGAGGAUGAAGUCUCUUCCAAUACAGACCAAUCAUCAAGAUCCGCCGCCAUGAAAGAGUAGAACCAAAAAAAGAAAACCUGCUACAAAAAUGUACCAAACACAAAAACUAAUCAUUACAGCAUAUGAUCACUUAAACCCAACAUCACAAAAUAGACGAAACUCGAAUAAACACCAUGGUUUUUCUAAACUUGCAUAGAUAAAACCGCUACGAGUUCAAACACGAAAUUAACAAAUAAUUUAUGAAAAGUAUGAUUUGAAAAUUCAAUCCGAUUUAACAUAAGGAUUCAGUUCAGAUAAGCGUAAAGACAAAACUGAUGAUGGCAGUUUACUUAAGUUUUUUUUUUUGGCAAAAAAAAAAAAAGUUAACAAGGAGAGGCCACUACCGAAAAGAAGAGAAGAGAAUCGCAGAAUACGGAGAGUUGCCAAGCAGUACGAGAGCACACACAAGAAAAAAAAAAAAAGAAAUCGAGGGAUUUAUAUGUCCGGUGAAGAUGAAGGCAUCAAAACGAGAUCUAGGGAUUUAUUGGUCUGAUGAAUGAUGAACGCUUCGCAGAGAAAGAGGGCAGAAUAUUUUAAUUUUAAUUUUAUUUCUUACUAUUUCUUUGGGCUGGGCCUUUAAGCCUUUUUACUGUUGAAUCCAACACUUGCUUUAGUUCAACUUUUUACCUAUCAAAUUAUACACAACAUGAGCAAAUGAGGAGAGAACAGUGACAGUGAAACUAUGUGUAUAAGAACAUACAACCCAAGUAAAAAUUACAAAGUUCUUAUAGAAAUUGUAACUAUCACCAAGUUAAUAGCCCUAUUCUAUAACCCUAGAGUGCAUAUUAUGACAUGCAUGCUUAUUUGUUUUAUUUUGAACUUAGAGUAUCUCCAACUCAUUGUACUUUUACUUUUGUAAUAGUAUUUAUAAGCAAAAUCUUUUCAAUUUACCUCUAUUUUUGCUUCUAAAAUAGAAGUUGUUAUAUUUUCCCCUAUAUGUAAACGAAGAUACAUCAUUCUUCUAUAUUUUACUUUAUAUUUAUAAAUUUGAGCUUUAGAAAAUACACCGGAGCAAAAUUCAUUUUUAUUAUAAAAAUUAUCUAUUUUAAAGAUAAAAAUAUGGGAAUAUAUUAGAGAUUGUCUUAAUGCAAGCUCAUUUUUUUUGUGACGUGUAAUCUAGUAUACAUAUAUUUAAUGAACAUGUAAUGUGAGGAAUUAAUUAAAUACUAGAUGAUAACCCGCGCGCAUGUCUGGAGUGGGUUUUUUAUACUUAUGUUUGUUCAUUAAAUGAUUUUAACAUUUUGUAACAUUAAAUUUUUUAUCGAUUGUAAAAUGACGAAUACAAUUGUUGGUCUCUUAAAUAUAUCAUCGUUGUUGAAGAGUUGACGUGUUACAGCUCAUUUUAAUUAUUUUAAAGAUUUAAUAUGUACAAAAAGAAAUUAAGUUUUGCGGCUGAUACAAAUCACUGAAACCAGAUAUGCAACAUGGAUUGUAAAAUGAAGAAAGUGGAUUAGGUUUUCUGCUCUCGAUUUGUUUAUUAUUGUCUCUUCAUAAGUGAUUUUAUUUUCUACCUCUAUAAAAUUAUGCUUUCGUUCUCGUUUCUAUUUCACUGUUAUGAGUUUUGUUUCUUUUUUUAACUUCUUCUGUGAAUUACAUAAGUGUCAAUUUGAAAAGAUGGACAUCUGUAAAAAUUAGGUCCACUCCAGAUACAUAUCUAAGAAUCAAAUUUUUGAAGAAAAUCAUCGGCAAAAUCUAUUCAGAGGUUAGUGUUCGAAUCUAAUAUAUCAAGCUGUUAUAAAAUAUAAGUGCAGAAUUCGAAAUAUAAAUGUCUGUCUAGUAUAUAUUCACCAAUUCGGUCUUAAAAUCAUCUAAUUCUACAAAAACAAAACAAAUUACUUAUCUUAUUAACCUACGGUUUUGAGGUUUAUUUACUUACAAGUAUACCGAUAAAAAAAAUACUUUACCAUUCUAGCAUAUGUAAACUAUGUAAAAAAGAUUCGCUAUUAUGUAACACAUUUUAUUCAAAUUUUUGCAACCUAUCAAAUUAUACACAACAUGAGGAAAUGAGGAGAGAACAGUGACAAUGAAACUAUGUAUAUAAGAACAUACAAACCUAAGUAUAAAUUACAAAGUUCUGAAAGAAAUUGUAACGAUCACCAAGAUUACAAGUUAAUAGCCCUAUUCUAUAACCGUAGAGUGCAUAUUAUGACAUGCAUGCUUAUUUUUUUAAACUUAGAGCAUCUCCAAUUCAUCGUACUUUACUUUUGUACUAGUAUUUAGAAGCAAAAUCAUUUCAAUUCAUCUCUAUUUUUGCUUCUAAAAUAGAGGUUGCUAUAUUUUCCUCUAUAUGUAAACGAAGAUACAUCAUUCUUCUAUAUUUUACUUUAUAUUUAUAAAUUUGAGUUUUAGAAAAUACAUUGGAGCAAAAUUCAUUCUUAUUAUAUUUUUUCUAUUAUAGAGAUAAAAACAUGGGAAUAUAUUGGAGAUUGUCUUAAUGCAUGCUUAUUUGUUGGUGACACGUAAUCUAGUAUACAUCUAUUUAAUGAACAUGUAAUGCGAGGAAUUAAUUAGAUACUAGAUGAUAACCCACGUGUAUCCGUUGGGUGAGUUUUUAUACUUGUGUUUGUUCAUUAAAUGGUUUUAAAAUUUUGCAGCACUAAAUUUUUAUCGAUUGUAAAAUGACGAAUACAAAUAUUGGUCUAUUAAUGUAUCAUCAUUGUUGAAAAGUUGACGUAUUACAGUUUAUUUUAAUUAGUUUUAAGACUUCAUAUGUACAAAAAGAAAUUAAAUUUUGCGGCUGACACAAAUCACUGAAACCAGAUAGGCAACAUCGAUUGUAAAAUGACGAAAGUGGAUUAGAUUUUCUACUCUCGAUUUGUUUACUUGACUCUCCAUAAGUGAUUUCAUUUUCUACCUCUAUAAAAUUGUGUUUUCGUUCUCGUUUCUGUUUCACUGAUAUGAGUUUUGUUUCUUUUUUUAACUUCUUCUAUAAAUUCGGUGAAUUACAUAAGUGUCAAUUAAAAAAUUGACAUCUGUAAAAAAUUAGUUCUACUCUAGAUACAUAUCGAAGAAUCAGAUUAUUGAAGAAAAUCAUCGGCAAACUCUAUUCACAGGUUAGUGUUCAAAUCUAAUAUAUCAAGCUCUUAUAGAAUAUAAGUGCAUAUUCGAAAUAUAACUUUCUGUCUAGUAUAUAUUCACUAGUUCGGUAUAAAAAUUAUCUAAUUCUAGAAAAACAAAACAAAUUACUUAUUUUAUUAACCUAUGCUUUUGAGGUUUAGUUACUUAAUAGUAUACUGAUAAAAAUAUAUAUAAUACUUUACCUUUCUAGUAUAUGUAAGCUAUGUAUAAACUAAAAACUAUUUGAUUUAUAAAUUGAUAAACUAGAAAACUUUUAAUAAAUAGUUCAAAUCUCUCAAUCGUACAAUUAUAAUAGCUAGAUAAUGUAUUAUGAAGAAUCAAAUAUUAGACGAAUGAUCAAAUCUCUCAUUCUUUGAACAAAUUCAAAAGAAGAUGAUCGGAAUCUUGUCAUGAUAUUUUAUUAAAAUUUUUUUAGAAAUUAAAAUCAAGACUAAAAUAUUUAAUCUGAAUAAAAUAAUAUAUAUAUAUAUAAAAUUUAUCACGCGCAACUGAAUGAAAUGAUCAUUAAAUCGUAUGAUCAUAAAAUCAUAUGAAUAUGAAGUCUCAUUUAAUUGAUAUUCAUAUUAAAUAUAUAUAAUAUAUCAUUUAAAUUAAACUAUAUACCAUAUUAAAUACAUAAAUAUGUUAAUUUUAAAAUUUGCAUUGAAAAAGUAUUGAGUUUUUAAUAUUUUAAUUUUAAAAUUUGCAUUAAAAAAUCUCACAUUGAAAAUUUUGUGAUUGAUAUUUUAAUUUUUUUUCUUACAGGAAAUAUAAAAAUAUUAAUAAAAUCAUAUGAGUAGGAAAUCUGGAUAAUAAAUAUUUAUUUUAAAAUAUACAAUAUAUUUAUGUCAAUAGCAUCGAAAUUUAAUUUUAUACUAUCUAAAAUAAAUAAAAUGAUUUUUUUGAUUUAUUACCUGAAAAUUAUUGUAAAUAAACCAACAGUAUUAUUUUUAUUUGAUUGUCUUAAAUCUAUAUAUUUUAAAUGAUCACGUUAAUUACUUACGCAUGCUUAUUCUAUUUGAUUGUCUUACACAUGUAGCUUACAACUGUUGGUUCAAUUACAUUAGUAAACAACAAACAAAAAGUACAAAUAACGAUUUUGUCUUAUUUAUAUAUUACUAGGGGAUAGGACGGCUAUAUAAACAAAUAAAUAAUAUAUAAACAUCUUAAAUUUUAAAUUUUAAUGUGCAUUUACCAAUAUAAGUAUAAUUUGGUAACUUCAAAUUAUACUAUUUGUUAAAAUAAUAAUUAACCUUUAAAAAUUUAUAACACAUAUUGUUUUUACAUUUUUAAAUAUUCUCCUAUGAGAAGUAGUUUUUUUUUUUUUUAAGACGUUGAAAACUCUUUUGGAGUUAGGCAAUAAUGGUUUGCUAUUGUGAAUGGACGUGUUCUUUUAAGAUAUACUUAGACGCGGAUAUGAAUUUUCAGUUUUGGAGCGCGGAUAUGAAUUUUCAGUUUUGGAUUAUUUAUUUUAUUAAAUGAUGUAUUUGUAAUAUUCGUUCAUAUUAUAUUCAUUAAGUAAAUAAUUUUUUUUUGCAUCUUAAACCAUCUAUUUUUUUUACGAAUGUGUGAUAUCAUAUAAAAAAUAUUUAAAAAAUGAGUAUAGAGUUAAUUAGAUAAUUUUAAAAACAGAAAUUUUUCUUUCGUGUGCGAUAUCAUAUAAAUAAUGAUCCACCCGGUUAACAAAAAUCAUGAUUAUUUUAUGUGUAAUUUUUUUUAUUUUGACAAUUUCCUUAAAACUAUAUUAAAUUUUACAUAUUUUAAUUAGAAUAUUUUUAAUAUCUUUACCUUUUUAUUUGAAAUGCAACUCAAUAUUUUUUUAACAAUUAUAACAAAAUAUUUAAAAAAUAUUUUUAGAAUUUGUUUGAAAAAUAUGAAAAUUACAUUUUAAAUUAAAAUUAUCCUAAAAUAUGAUAAGUUUUGAUGUAAACGAAAACUCAAAUUAUGUCAAAAAUAAUGAUAUUCAAUGAUAAUAACAAUUUUAAUUGAUUAUUUUUUAAAAAAUACAUUUACAAAAAUAUUGUUUGAAAGAAAAUUCAUUUAUCUUUCAAAUAUAAAAUUAAAAUAUUAUAAUUAAAUAAUAAAAAAUAUAAAUAAAAACCAUAAAUUUAGCAAAUGACAACUGAGUUAUAUUAUGGUAAAAUGUUCUUUCUAACAAUUUAUCAAAUGACAAAUGAGUUAUGAGCAAAUAAUACCAUAUAAUUUUUAAAAACAUAGUCAUUCUUAAAUAUUUUUUGAAUAAAUAAUUAUUUUUAAAUUUAAUCAACUGAAAAUAAUAUCCGUACAAUUGUGUGAGUCAAAUUCUAGUUUUAUUGAUACAUGUUAUAUAUUAGUGUUGCAUGUUUUAGGUAAUAUUUUAAUGAUGCACGUUUUUAAAAAUUUUCAUUAUUAAAAUUAGGCACGUAAGGAUAACUCAUGAGUUUUUUUGGUCUAUUAAAUGACAUUAUGUCCAAAUUUAUUUAAAGAUAUUUCAUUAAGGUAACUGAAAAAGAUAAACAAUAAAAUAGGAAGUUUAAAUUCAUUUAAGCAUAUUUCAUUAAUGUAGCUGAAAAGACAAGUAAUAAAUUAGGCAGUUUUAUUCGUUUUAGGAUAUUUCAUAAAUGCAACUGAAAAAGACAAGCAAAAAAAAGGAGUUUAAUUAAUGAAGUAAGAACAUUUUCAAAUUGGUACUUCUCUUUUAAUAAUAUAGAUAUACUUGGUUAAGACAAGCGCUUUGCGCGGAAUGAAUAUUAAAUGCAUUAAAUAUAUUUACAUAUUAUAAAUAAUAAAUAUAUAUUAAAUAAUUAAAAUUCAAUAAAUAUUAAAUAUAUAAUUAAAUUAGGAAAUAUUUUCAAAAAUACUAUUUUCAAAGUACCAAUUUUCAUAUUUACACUAACCACUUUUACCCUCAUCUUUAAUGAACGGCAAAAGACAUUUAUAACCUUUUGAUUAAUUUUGACAAUAAAACAUUGUUUAACUAAUCUAAACUUAAAACAUCAACUCUAAACCCUAAAUCAUCAACUCUAAACCCUAAACCAUGAAACUUCAACUCUAAACCCUAAACCCCAAAACAUCAACUCUAAACCCUAAAUUCUAAAUCAUAAACCUUUAAAUCUAAACCCUAAAACAUUUAACUCUAAACUCUAAAUCUGAACUUAAAACAUCAACUUUAAACCCUAGAUCAUCAACUCUAAACCCUAAACCCCGAAACAUCAACUCUAAACCCUAAACCCUAAACUUUCAAAUCUAAACCCUAAAACACUAACACUAAACCCUAAACGUAAACCCUAAACCUUAAAUCCUAUAUUUUUUCUGAAAUUCGAACCCUAAACCCUAAAACCCUAAACCUUCAAAUCUAAACCCUAAAACAUCAAAUCUAGUUUUAGGGUUUAGGGUUUAGGAUUUAGGGUUUAGGGUUUAGAGAUGAAGGUUUAGGGUUUAGAGUUGAUGUUUUAGGGUUUAGGGUUUAGAGUUUACUUUUAGGGUUUAGGGUUUAUUGUUGAUAGUUUAGGGUUUAGUGUUGAUGGUUUAGGGUUUAGAGUUGAAGUUUAGGGUUUAGGGUUUAGGGUUUAGAGUUGUUGUUUUAGGGUUUAGAGUUGAAGGUUUAGGGUUUAGGGUUUAGAGUUGAUGUUUCGGGGAUAAGGGUUUAGAGUUCAUGUUUCAGGGUUUAGAGUUCGUAUUUAAAAAAAAAAGUUUAGGAUUGAUGGUUUAGGGUUUAGAAUUGAGGUUUAGGGUUUAGGGUUUAAAUUUCGAAAUAGUAUAAUUCGAAAAAAAUUAAAAAAUUUAUUUUUUAUUUUUUUGGAUUUUUAUUUAUUUAAAUAUUUAUUUAUUAUAUAUAUAAAGGAUAAAUGCAUAAGAGUCUUUUGCCACUUAAUGAAGAAGAUAUUUUUGAAAAUGUUCUUUUAGUGGUGGUAAAAAUGAAAAGUGGUAACGUGAAAGUGGUAAACAUGUAAUUUUCCCUUAAAUUAGUGCGAACAUAUUAAUCAAUUUUAUUAAUCUAAAAAAUAUUUUAUUAUAUUUGAUAGGAUAUGUAAUUAAAUUUAAAUGAUACUAACAUACAUAUUAUAUUUUAGUAUAUUUUUAAUAUUAAUGUCUAUUAAAUCAUGAUUUCUACUCAUAU
rnacentral:lncRNA from 1 species